UUUUUUUUUAUGCUCAUUGUUCAAUUUGCUAGAAGUUGUUAGGGAAGGCAUUUUUGGCUCCUUAGCUUUGAUAUUGAAGUUGACUUUUGCAUUUAACAAUCAUUGGUGAUGAUUGACUAUCAUUUAAGAUAGUUGAUUAUCCUUAUCAAAAGUUUUGCUUGAUUGUUGUUGCUAUAAAAUAAUUUGCUGUUCUUUGGGAUGGUGGAUUCUUUCUUUGACAAUGAUUUUGCAUAUCUCUUUUUGAUAGGAUAAUUAAUGAUCUUUCAUGAUGGUUAGUUGUUUUCUUUGAUGGCUUAUGGCUUUUUUGCAAUAUCACAUGUUCUUUGUGGUUUGCUCUGGAUUGGUCUCUUGGGUUUGAGACAUCAAUAGGAUGUUGCUGACACUUGCUUAGGCAACUUGAGUUCCUUGAUAUUAUUAACCAGGAUUUAUUCAGAUUGGUUGAUGCGAUAGUUGGCAUGACUAAAUGUUUGUUCGUUCUGCAACAUUCAUUAUGUUAUGUUGAUCAUUACUUGAGGUAGUUCUGAUAGAUUGGGAUGUUAUUUCCUUUGAGUGAUACAUUCGCGAGCAUUUUGUUUGUCAAUCAAUGAUACUUUGUGUUCUUUGAGUUAUCUUUAGUAAGUUGUUUAGCUUAUUAUCUACCAUCUUCGGUAGUUAAGUUUCAUCAUUGAGUUUCCUUGAUGAUAUACACAAUGGCAGGAGGUCGGUAUUGUUAGACCCAUUAUCAAUUUCCCACUCUUAUAUAAAAAGCCAAGUUAUAAGAAAAAUUAAUAUAAUUUUCAGGAUUUAGUGAAAUUUUUAUCUACUACAACAUUGACACAACCUUUUGGUCAUAAGCUUAUAAAAGUGACGAGAUCAACUUUAAAUGAUCUUAGAAUUUACUUUGCAAUAAAACCAACUGAGAACCUUGAAAUUGUCAGAAAAAAGUGAUAACUAAGCAAGCUUAUAUAGCUAACAAUUUUGCACUAUCCCAAGUAUGAGUAUGUAACUACAGAACAAGGAAGACUAUUGCUUUUGAGCAAUAAAGAGCCUAAGUGCUUCCAAGUCAAAUAAUGAAAGAUUUAUAAAAUUUUGUAAGUUAUACAUUGAUCUAGAGCAAGUUCUAUAGUCAAAUAUUUUACUUGGAUUGGAAGAAUAUUAUAUAGUAGGCAAAUUACUAUAUGAACUUUACACACUCUAGUUGAUUGUUUUUAUGGAUGACAAUAAUAUGGCAAUCCUCCACAACACUGUGAUCAAUUUAUAUAGUUAUGUCCUAUGGAAGUUCUACACACAUAGUCUAUGUAGUGUCAAUUAUCCAAAAACCAAAAUAUAUACUAUAUAUUCAGUUAGUUGAAGAAAGGGUGAAAUUGAUGAAUUUAGUUGAAACAGGUUUUAAAUAAAAAAAAUAACCAAACCACAAGCUUAACUUUUAGCACUUUUCUCAAGAAAUUCUAAAACAAGAAAUAAUGAAUAUGUGAAGAUUACAAAUAUAUAGUCAAAGGAAGCAAAGACAAUAUAGUCGAAGGCAUUACAGUUGAAGGUGGAAGUUAAGAAUCUCAACAUUAAACAACAAUACUAUCAUUACAAGUGUAUAAUUCUCAAUUAUGGAAUUGAUAUUAUAAAUACAAAGAUUUACAAUAUCACAACAAACUAAUUCCCAAGUUGCACUUAUAUAUGCUUCUUGCAAUGUUAUACUUUUAGUGAGUCUUUAAUCCCUUAAAAACAUAUGUAUUUUAUAUAUUUUAUGCUUUUGGGGAAGGAUCCAAAGGUUAAAGUUUGGAUUCACCAUAAUAUUUUAAUAUGAGUGGUUCAUAACAUUGAAGAUAUUGGUAUUAUAUUUGAAUUUAAAAUAUUUAUUAAUGUGAGGUCCAAGUGUAUGGUUACAAUGCCGUAUACUAAUAGUAGCAUAAUGGGAUUUUGGCAACUGUCAGAUUGAUUUCAAUCCAGACCACUCUCUUCUAUAUAUAAUUUACAAUUUUAGAGUUAAUUGAUAUACACAUAUUUUAUAUUCCCCUUUUAUAUUCCAUGCAUUCACAUCAGUGAAGGUGGGGCAUAUUUGAUUGUCCCUAAGGAGUGCUUGAAUUUGGGAUUUUUGGUUGAAAUCUAUCUUUUGUAUUGUCUAUAUUUAACUUUUUCAUUUCCUUUCUUUUAUUCUUUCUUUUCAGGAUUUUGAUUUAAAUUUAGCUUUUGCAUUAUGUAGAUUUCCCUUUCCUUCUAACUUUUUUUAUUUCAUUUCUUUUGCUCUUUCCUUUUUAUUCAUCUUCAUGGCACAGUAGUAGUCUCCUCCUUUGACUCUGGAGCAGUAGUUGGUGCAAUUGCUCGAUGCUAUAUGAUUGCAGUUAAAUAACCAAACUCAAUUGAUGGUGGCAUUCACGGUACAUGGUAUAACUCCUCUUACUCUUGGUGCCAAUCACCGCGUUCGGCUAGAGUUCUUUCGUGGGAAUCUUGGGGUGAUAUGUACUAUUGGUUUAGUAAUUUCACGAUGAUUGCCACAUAUAAUUCUCAGAAUGAGUUUCCCAUGUGUCUUCAAGGAUAAUGCUAUAGUGGUACAAUGGUUUGAGCGCAGCCACUUGUGAGGAUUGGAGUAUUCUCCCGAACGUCUUCAAAUGCACAUUCAGACAUAUUGACAAUUAUGAUGAUGCCUUCCAAUAAUUGCAUUGUCUUCGUCAAGAGCUAUAGGAGUUAGUGAUAUAAUUUGCGUUCGUUUUCGAAGCUUCUUACUUCAUACGGAGCUAAAUAUGUCAGAGUGGAUCAAGCUAAGAAUAUUGUAGUUAGCACUUCGUCAAGAUGUUAUAAAACUUGUGUAUGCACUUGCUAUAGCCACCCUUAAUGAUGCCCUUCACUUGGCAUAACAUUAUGAGACGUCACUUUUUCCACUUCUCACCGCAUGUCCUUUAGCUCCAUUUCCUCUGAAAGAUGGUUCUGUUCCAAUUGAGGUUGAUGUUGGUGUUACUCGAGUUCAAGGACAAAGGCAAGUACGUGAUUGUGGGCUAAUUGAUAUGCAUAUUUUCUAUAUUCCUUUUCUAUAUUCCAUACACGCACAUUAAUAAAUUAUUAUUUAUAAGUUACAAAUAGGGCAUUUCUUAAAGUUAUGCUCAAAUGGAUUUUAUAGUAAUAAUUAAAUAUUUAAUAAUUACUAUUAUUAAAUAUUAAAAUAAUAAUUUAUUUUAUAAAUUAGGUGGCAAGGCAAAACCUCUAUUGAUUAGGAAAUAUUGCCACUCAUAUUUAAAUAUUAUUUAAAUUACUAAUUUGUCUAAAAUACCUCUUUAAUAAAAAUAUUGCCACUAAAACAUUAAGAAAAUAUUUUUUAGUGUACCAGAAUAUUUUAAAAAUUUAUCCUUUUGUUGACCUAGCUCUCUCUAUUGGCAGAUCUGUCCUAGUAAGCUUUUAAUGAUUAAUUUCUUUGAAUUGAUCAAGCAUGCCCAAUAUCUCUAUUUGUUUGUUCAGGGGAUAUGAGAGACCAAAAGCAAAUGUGCUUAAACUUUGAAAGAAUGUGAAUGUGACAUUUUCCAAUUUUGAAAUUUUGUAAGAAAAAAAAGUUACUCAUUUUAAAAGACUUUUAGCUAUACAAUUAUGUAGCUAAAUAUGUUUACUAGCAAACCAAAAUACCAAAUAAUAUUAGUGUUGUUAACAAUUAUAAUAAUAAUACAUAAUAUGGUAAUAAUAUUCACAAGAGCAAGGCUAGUGUUUUGCUUUGCAAUGUUAUUCAAGAGGAUGAGUAAAGCAAUUGGUAAAACAAACAAUAUAAAUCAAUUGGUAUGAUCUUCAGUCCUCCUAGAACAGCUUUGCAUGGAGUUCCCUCUCGUACACAUCAAGAAGCCCAUCCUGUGGAUUCCACACACAUCUCUUUUGAGGGUAUGCUCCACAAAUCCCUCGGCCUUAAACCUGGAGCACUAGAUUUCAUGACCUUGAGUAUGUACAUACCAUUUCCAUGCAGCUGCUUCGCUAUAAAAGCUUGCUGGUCCUUCCAAACCUCAUCUCUUAAAAAGCUCUUGAAAUGCUAGGAUGAGUACUAGAAUGGUGAAGAGAAAAGCUUUCGAUUUUUGGGAUCGAUACUGGCAUCUCCAAAUAUGUUCGAUUGUUGGAUCGUUCCAGGCGUUUUGACCGAUUUUACUGGUGUUGACCUCUGGGGAGCUAUGGAUGGAUGUUGUACCGUGAGACUAUCAAAACAGCAGUGGAUAGAUAUUUAUCUUGUGUUUCUUUUUCCCACUUUUUUGCAAAAGGAAGUAGUUUGUGCAUGCUGAUGGCUUGUGUCUUCAUGAACUCCAUGACUCACAUUCAAUGAGUGCCAAGUUUCCAGAGGUUUGAAAAAAGGAGUUCACUGCAAGUACAUUAGGAUUGAGCCUUAAAUUGAAGAUGUUUUCUCUUUUUGAAAUAUUUGUAUAUCUAGAGAAUUUCGUGAUUGUGAGAUUAAAUCGCUGUUCACAUCUAGGUUUAGGCUCUUUGGCAUGCUCAAGCCCGAUGGCACCCUUGCGUUCAAGUCCGACAAUCCACAGCGUCACGAGCUCUCUAGUCUAUUCAUGUUUUUUUCACAAAGCUCUUUAUUUUCUAAGUCAAGGGUUAGGUUAUAAUCUUUCUCGCUUGGAUUUUUCUAUUGUCGAAGCUCUCGUCAGGUAAGCUAUGGUCUCUCGCACUCACGCCGCCCCAACGCUUGCCCGCCGAGCCCCAGCGCCCUGGCAUGAAGGCCAUCACCGAGCUCCACACCCGCGAGCUCCAGCACAUCGAACACACCACCAUGGACACCAUCCUCGGGGAGGGCACGAGCCAGCGCCAGCUUUAGCUCCAGUUCUUCAAGGUGACGCUCCAGUUCGAGCCCCAGCGCCAGCUGCUUUUGUUCACCCUGCUCACGGCCACCCUGCUCAUCUAGCUCCAGCGCCUGGUAUCCUUGAUCAUGCUCGCCACCACGAUCCAGCUCCAGCAGUGUACCAUCAUCAUCAUGGUGAUGGAGCUCCUCUGGUUGUUCACCACCGUCACCAUGGUCACCACCAUGGAGGACGUCACAACCACCACAACCACCACCACCACCACCACCACCACCACCGUCACGACGGUCAUGACGCAGCAGUGGCCACACCAACACCCGCAGCAGUAGUUACAGUGGUUCGGAGGACGCCGUGGUCGCUGCUCCAGCUUCUUCUUUGGGUUUUGGUUGCGAUCUUGGUGCUGCUUGCGUGCUUUUUGCUCGUGCGAUGGAUGUUAUCUCGAAGGAAGCAGCACAGGAAUGCGAUCUUUCAGGAUCCCGGGUGGCAGAUCGAAGUGACGAAUCAUCUGGAAGUUGUGGUGGACGAUUCUCCAACUGAGACGAAACAGCUGGAAGCUCACACUUGUGGUUUCUCCUCAAAGUGUCCUGCCAACACUGGCAGUGACGCGUAAGUCAGCACAGUGCAUGCGUUGCCACAUGGAAGAUUGUGUACAAACAAUCUUCAAGGAGCAAGGAGAUGAAGUUGCAGAGCAAGAAGACAGCAGGCUCUUGCUCACGGACGGUGAUCUCACCCAGAGAUCACGUACAAGGGUCGACUGGUGGAAGUCACCAGACUUGGAAGUUAUUGCACAGCUUGGCUCGGAACAUGGACUGGAAAAUAAGUUUCGAUUUGACUGAGCUAUCCUCUAGAGGUGACAGGGGAGCAGACGUUAAUGCACCUCCAAAGGCCAGAGAAGUUGCUUGAGACGAAAGGUUUGAGAAAAGGUAACGUACUACUUUUGCACUCUGUUCUUGCAGGCGCUCAAAUCUCAACUUCGAUGCAAGGCAUAGCAGCCAGAUAAGAUUCUCAAGAGUCAAGAGCAUCAUAAGCCGGGAAUCAAGCGAGUGCAACUGUGAAAGUAUCUACACUGCGGCUUGCAACACAGGUUGUUUGACAGGAUGGGACGAAGAACAGGAUAGGUUGGUCUACCUCGCAAAUUGUGAAUAUGAAGACAAUGCAUUUGUCGGGAGGAUGAAGAAACACGACAUUGGUUGCCUGGAACAUGAACAUGCACGUCUUCUAUCAGAUGCAAUGAGAAGCUGGCAUGCCUCCAAACGCUGAGACUUUGCAUGGAGCAGCAAAACAUCGUUUCCUGGGAUAUGCCAAGAACAACCUUUGCUCUUGAGUGCUACGAGCAAACCGGCAGCCAAACGCUCAGACUUUUCAUGGUGGCGCUCAACGCACGCGGCGACUUAGCAGAGAAGAGGCUCCACUCGCAGAUCCGGGAGAGAAAUCUGGACGGAAUGUGCUCGCUCAGUGUGGAGACAUGCCUGCCACUUGAGAAGUUUUCCACCUCAGGUUCAGAAGUACUCUGGCGUCACUGUCACGAUGACACACUUCUUCUUGCACUACUCAUUUGGAGUCACUGGAGAGCGCCCUACGAAGCAUGAUGGUCAUAGGUACUGUGGAAGGUUACUUUUCAUUUAGGUGCUUGGGAACUGCCUGAGAACUAGGAGCGCUACAUAUGACUGAAGGCAUAUGCUUUAAUCUCAUGGAUCCGAAGAACUUAAUCAAAAUGAGAGAAAAGCUUUUCUCGGGAGCUUGUCGGUAAACUUUGCAAGGAAAGAGUGUGAUGCAAGGUCCGUCAAUGAAACAAACAAAGAUGGUACCUGAAAAGAAGCGAAAGGAUCUUAGCUGGCACACCGUGGUGAAGAGAUAAAGAUAAAAAAUAUGAGAGACAAUACUUAUCUCUUAAUUAAUUUGCAGUAUUGAGUAAUUUAAUUGAUCAAUAGUUAUAAAAAUAUUUAUAAUUUAUAAAUCAAGAUUAAUAUUAAUAGUAAAAUAAACAAUAAUAUACUAGAAAGUGUUUAGGAAACUAUAAAUAAAAAUAUUAAUCUAAAUGAUAGAUAUUAAAAUAUCCUAGAAUAUGCUUGCAAAUUCUAGGAUAUUUUAAUAUCUAAUAGUUGUGGUUGAUUCAAUCUGCUAUAGGUCAAACCAAUUAUAGAUCUAUAGUACAAGCUUAUUUAUAAACCUAUUUACAUUAGUAUAUAGAACUUUUUCUCCAAAACAACUUUGAUUAAACCCAUAUUAAAACUUGGGACUUAAGUUUCUUUGAGAAUUUGUUGUAAAUUAGAUGUUAUAUUCUUCUUUCAACCAUUCCCUGUACAAAUAUAUAACCUUUAUAAUUACAAUUCAAGUUCUUUAAAUGUUUUUUGAUUUUAUAUUAGUAAAUGAGAAACAACAAACAUAUAAAGAUUACAAAUACUUAGUCAAAGGAUGCAAAGAUAACAUACUCAAAGGCAUUAUAGUUAAAAGUAAAAGAUUAACAUCAAACAGCAAUACUCAUGAGUAUAUAAUUCUCAGUUAUGGAAGUGAUAUUAUAAAUGAAGCUUUACAACAUCAUAUUCAAUCAAUUCCUGAGUUGCAAUUACAUAUAAUUCUUUAAAUGUUAAAAUAAUGUCUUUCAUCUUUUGCAUAGGAUGGAUCAAAAUGUUAAACUUUGGAUUCAUCAUAAUGUUUGAAUAUGAGGUGAAAAAAAUAGAUAUUGGUAUUAUAUUUUAAAUUUAAAAAUAAAUUUUAUCUAUAAAUUACACUGAAAACAAUAUAGGGCAUUUCUUAUAAUUAACUUUAUAGUAAUAAUGAAAAGAUUAAUAUAAAUAUAUACUUAAACAAUUAGUGUAAAUAUUAAUUUAUAAAUAUUAAAAAUAAUAUUUUCUUUUCUAAAUUAGCUGAUAAUACAAAACCUCUAUCAAAUAGAAACUAUUGCUAAAACAUAUUAUAUACUUAAAUUAUUAUUUUUAAUACCUUCUUAAUAAAAAUAUUGCAUCUAAAACCUUAUAAAAUAUUCUUUAGUGUAUCAGAAUAAUGCUUUAUUUCGUUAAAGUGGGACUUAUUCAGUAAAGUGGGACAUUAAUUAGCAUGUGUCCACAUGCCAUUUCCUAGUACUUAAUUAAUAUUUAUUAAUAUUUCUAUCAGUUUUUUAAUUUAUUUUUUUAUAUUUCACAAUAUUAUAACACAAAAUCAUAUGAAAAUUUUUUAAUUUAUAAAUUAUAAAGUUAAAACUUCAAUUUUUUAUUGUUGUUAUAAAAAUGGCAUGUGGCCACACACCAUAAGUGGAAUAAUGAAAAGUCCCACUUUAACGAAAUAAAGCAUAAUAUCCUUGUCAACGUCUUUGUUUUCUUCCUUCUCAAUUUGACGAAGUCUGUUAAUAAUAUAGUCGUAUAUUACAUUUACUUUAACAAAAGAUUGGAUCUAAUCGAUCACUGGGACGCAGAUCGAGAGCAUACCUUGUGUUUCCAACACUCUUUGAAUUAAAAUUCUCUCGUGGCAAACCAAUUCUUUUAUAUAGAACAUCAUCUUAGACAGUGAUAAUUAUUUGCGAGAAAUGUCAUUUUAAGUUUUUUUUUGGACACUACUAAAUAACAUAUACCAAGUUGGCAUAAGAUCUUCAACACCAUUAAUGUUUUAUAAUUUCAUGAAACAUUCAUAAGUUCAUAGCUUUUUUAUUUCCUUCUUAGAGCCUUCACAAGAUGCAAUUUUGUCUUUUGCACAUCUCACCUUGGAAGGUAUUUAUCACUCAAAGCAACCAUACUUCUAAUUUAGGUGUCUGGGAGCUGCCUGAGAACUAGGAGUGCUGCGUCAGAACGAGGGAAUUAUCACUAAAGGCCAAUCUCAUGGAUCCGAAGAACUGAGAAAAAAAGUUUUCUCAGGAGCUUGUCGGUAAGCUUUUCGAAGAAAAUGGAGAAAGAGUGUAAUACAAGGUUGACGGAGCUGUCAACGAAACCCAAACAAAGAUGGUUCGUGAAAACAAGCGAAAGGAUCUUAGGCGCUUGAAACAAGCGGGUUACUUUUAGAGACCUCUAAAGCUUAAGCGAUGAGCUUGCUAGACUAAUGGUAAUUGUUUUUUAUUUAAACAUGCAUUUUUUCGUCCUCGCUGACAUUUUUAUACACCAGCGUCCAUUUCGAUUCCAUACCCGAGAGGAGCCUCGUCUCCUUUAACACAAUGCUCUCGGCAGGGGAAUGGAGGGAGAAGAGGCGAUCAAACUGGCAGAGCUCUUCUUCGCCCAAAUGCCCAACCGCGACCUCAAUGCGAUGCUGGACGCGUAUGCCAAGAGAGGGCAUCUGUGCCGCGCACGUAUCCUCUUCGCCGCCAUGCCGGAGCACGACGCCAUCACGAUCACCACCAUGAUCCACACGCUCGCUCGGGGCUCGGGGGAUUUGGAAUCGGCGCGGUUUCUCUUUGAUUCUACGCCCGUCCGGGACGAGCUGUGUUGGAACGCGCGUAUGCCCAGCGAGGGCAUACCGUCGAAGCGAGAAAGCUAUUUGAUUCCAUGCCUGCCAAGAUCGAUUCUUCCUGGAAUUCGAUGCUGUCGGCUUACAUCCAAGCUUCAGAUAUGGCGAGCGCCGAGGAUUUCUUCUUUCGUGCCAUGGCCGAGUGGAAUCUCAUCGCCUGCACAGCGAUGCUCGCUGCGGAUGCCCUAAACGGGCAUCUGUCCAAGGCCGAGGAGAUCUUCGCGGCGAUGGAGGAGGCGAGCUUGGUUUCCUGGACCGCUAUGCUCGACGGAUACGCGCGCAAUGGAUUCGUUCGAAACGCUGCCUCGAUCUUUCACUCCAUGGCGGAGAGAAACUUCGUUGCGUGGAGUGUCAUGGCUUCUACGUUUGCUCGCCAUCGCCACCUUUAAACACGAGCGAAUUCUUAGUUUUGGCUGACGUCUCAGUUUGGAACUCUUUUGUUGCGCUCAAUCCGAGAGCGCUAGCCUUCGCUCGCAAAGAGUGUUCCAGAUCUUGAGCUCGAUGAGUUGCGUCCAGAUGAGAGCUCUUUCGUCUCGAUCUUGCUGGCUUGCAGUCGAUCCGGCCACGUUGAUGCUGCUCGUCGAUGCUUUAGCUGCCUAAGCUCGGAUUUCUUCGUGGUGCUCAGUAAGAAACUCCAUAGCUGCGUCAUUGACACACUAUGUCGGGCAGCGUUUUGCCGAGACGCGAGCGAGCUUGUUUUCAGCAUGCCUUUCAAGCCAGACUCGGUGGACCUGAGCUCGAUUCAUCCAACUGUUGUAAGAGAUCGAGUGGAUCGAUCUAAGAGUUUAUCAAAGAGCUUAUAGUUACCGGUUGAUCCAUUCAUUGGCACGGCCACCCGACUCGUCCAAGCCUCGAGUUGGAAGCGAGGCUUUGGAAGGUUCCGUCCACAUUCAUGGAAUAUCCCAAUUUUCAAAUAUAGAUUUACAUGCUAAACAAACAUUUUAUAAAUCUCAUGCAACUUAUCAAUGGUCUCCUGUCUAGUCUGAAAGUCGCUUCCAAAACCUUGUAACUCAUCUUGGGUCCAAACAAAGAAAAGGAUGGGAUCUGGAACAAAGGAUUCUCGCUGUUUAAAAUGGCCAAAACUGUAGCGUGAUCUUCCCCCAUGUUGAUCAAAUAGUGAAGAACUCCACGGGGAAUUAUAAACAAAUCGCUCGCGGUCAAAUUCCUCGCAAAGAGCCUGUUGUUAGUGUCCACAAAGCCGGCCUCCACAAAUCCCUUCUCCACAUAGAUGAGCUCGCUUGCCCGAGGAUGAGCGUGAGCUCUCGCAACUCCUUUGGGGCCGAGAUAGUUUCGUGCCACGGACAAUCCCAUCGUGUUGAGUGCCGGAAAUGUCCUGACAAUAGCUUGAAAUCAAACGCAUUGCGCGAAACAAGCUGGAGUGGAAGUCUUCUGAAGAUACCUCUGAGUAUGGCUUGCACUUCAUGAAACCUUCACUAAUAUUGUUCCGUGGGAUGCAAAAGUCCUGGAUUGGAUCGGGAUCUGCAGCUCUCACAAGGACAAGAAUGUGGCAGUCGUUUAAGGAUGAGAGGAAUAGAGAAAGCAAUAAAAGUGAAUACAUUUGCAUAGCCAUGGGAUGUUAUAAGUUAACUGAUGAGUGAUUUUAUUUGCUAUCGUGAUUUGGACACCACGUAAAAGCUGGUAACUUUAGUCAAACUUGUGACUAUUGCUAAGCAUUACAAGCCAAGACACGUGGUGUAUGAAAAUUAUUAGUAAUAGGGAAGACCAUUAUUUGUUAUUAAUGGAAAAAAUAAAAAUGAGAUAACUUAGUUGUUAUCUCAUUCUCAAAUACUUACACACCAAAGCUAUUUUAUAGUAUAUUUUAUUGAGAAUAACUGUAUCGGGUGAUAUAAAUGUACAGCAAACAUAUGAAAAUAUAAAGUAUAGUCUUAAAGCAUUUUUGGCUUGACAGUGUAUACAUCUAGAAUAUGCUUGGAUAUUCUAGUUGUUAUUCAUUUAUAUUUAUUUUGUAUUUAUAACUUAUAAAUAUGUUUAUAAUAUAUAAACUUUCCUAAACACUUCAUAGUAUAUUCUAGUUUAUUCUACCAUUCAAUGCAAUAAUAUUAAUUUCGUGUUUAUAAAUUAUAAACAUUUCAAUUGAAUAAAUUAAUAAGAAUGACACUACUAUUAAAAAAAUUAAGCAUUUCAUAGCAAAUUAUUCUAAGUGUUAGUAUAAAAAAUUAAAAAAUUAUAUUUAAUAUCUCAAAUAUGAAGAUAUCUUGAUCAAAACUAGAAUGUAAAUUUUUAAGUUUAAAAGUUCUAAAACCCUUUGAUUAAACCCAUAUUAAAACUUUUCUUUGAGACUUUAUUGUAGAUUAGAUGUUAUAUUGUUCUUUCAACCAUGCCCUGUACAAAUAUAUAAAUUUUACUCCCAGAGAUAUAAAAAGCCCUUGAAAAUAUAUAAUCUUAAAUCCCACGGUGCAAUGAACUAGGGAAGAGUAUACAAUUUCCAGUAAUAAUGACACUACAAAUCCUCUCCUUGCUACUAUUUUACCAAUCCCUUUCAACUAGGAUUGUUGUUUCCAGCCUCCUAUUAAGUUAUGCAAGUGUAAUGCUGCCACACUAAUCCCAUAGCCUCAUACCAGUAUAACCAUACCCUUGGCAUUUUCCAUUUGGAAUCAUGACCAAAGGUGAGCCACUUCUCUUGAGUCCAAGUUAAAGUUAUAUUUCUGCACUCCAAUGAUAUAGCCUCUGACAUGAGUUAUGCCCCUUGAAACAUCCUGUACAUCUAAGUGGUGGAAUCAUGAUGAAUCCACAACCCAAGGCUUAGCCAACACAACUGUACCAUACAAAUUAGAACUUCAGUGUGCUGUCAAAAAGUGUUUGAUUACUAAUUGGAAUUAAAUGUGCAAUCAGAAGGUACAGAAGUGCUGCCAUGUAGUAUGAAGGACCUAAUCAUGGUGAAGAAUAGGUAAUGGUGCCAUAGCGAGAUGUCCUGUCCUGUGUGUCAGUUAUGUGAUGGUGUCUUUCAAGCGGACUUAGCCUUUAAGAGAAUCUGAAACAAAAGGAGAACAAAAGGCAUACUUCUACACAGUGAUCGUGGCUCUGUCUGCUUGUGCUACGAAAGAAAAAGAGUGGUGCCACCUUUCUGGUGCAUAAAACAGCAUCUCCUUAUAUCCGAUCCUUUCUUGUAAGUGACAGGACUGAGAAAUCGCACUGGACAACAGCCAACACAGGAUUGCUUUAGAUUACUCAAUUGAAACAACAAAGUUUACAAUAGUAAUUACCAUAAACUAAAAUAAAACAUGGCAUAUGCUAGUGUGAAGUUAUAAACUACUACCUUGAAUAGGGACAGUACAAGUAAACAGGGCACAGCUGCUGACCAUCAAACACAAUAUCUUGCGCAUUGGUUUCACCCUUCUGUGAAAGAAGCAUGCCCAAGUCACAGGUAAGAUCAGCCUGCAAGUAGUUUGAGCUAUCGGAUGAGUGCUUUUGGUCAAUCCACUGAGCACUAGCACGAAUUGCUGCUGAGAGUAGAACUUUUCCCGAUGCUACAUCAGCUUUAAACAGCUCCAACUUAUCCACGGAAAGGCUCGUCUCGUUCACCAAAAGCCUCCGUGUCACAGAAACACUCCUGCUCUUCGGAAGCAUAAAGGUGUGGAAUGGAAACUGCUGGACGGCGAGCUCCACUCCACGGUAGCUCAAAGUUACGUCCAUUGCAUCAAACUUCACGUCCAGCAGAUCUUCGUGCUUGCGAUGCUUGAGAUUCGAGCAGGUAAACUGGAGCUCUAGAUUGGAAACAAACCUUGGAGUUGAGUUUGAUGGGAGCUCAACGUGUGAAACCUUAAUGUCCUUGAAGUCGCACCAUGGUUCGUGACGAUUGGUGAAUGGCAGAAAAGAUGGUAAAAGUAGUAGUGAAAGCACUACGGCCAGCGCCCCUAUUACUAGCAAUCCCCCAAUGAUUUCCUUCUUGGAAUCCUCCAUGCCCUAUCUUCCCAAAAUAUAGUUCUUAUUUUAUAGACAAGACUUAAAGGUAAUCUAAAGGAUUAGGGUUUAGGGUUUUGUGAAUGAAGUGGCUGGGCGUGGCGUGGUCGGGGCUAAGGCGGCAUUUCUCGUCGCGGGCGGAUGGAGUGGGAUCGAUUUACGACAAGCUUUUCGUCGUCCAGCCGCGCUUCCAUCCGCCGCUGCUGCUCAAGGCCAAGCUCCUCGAGGCACUGCGCCUCGCCAAUUCACUCGCGCCCCUCACUGCCACCGAUCUCAAGUCGGAUUUCCCCUCGUAUGUGCUUGUCCAGGGCAGGAGGAAGAUCAAUGCAGGUGAUUAUUAGUCUGUUUCGCAUCGAUCGUUUCUCGUUCUCGAGUGAGUGAAUUCUUUUGUUUCAAGGCACCUAUUUUGGAGCGGGGACUAUUGACAACAUUCGCACGCAUUUGGACGUGAUCGACGUGGAAGUAAGGAAAGUUUUCUUUCUUUUAGCUCUGUAAAAGCUAAGCACGAGAGUCACACUGACAGGAUAGAGAGAUCGAUGCCGUGUUCGUGAACACUUCCCUGUCCGGCGUCCAAUAACGUAACCUUGAGGUGAUUAGAUAUCUCCACUUUCUUUUCUCUUUGAAUGUAGGUUGCAAUUUUGAAUGUUGGUUGCAAUUUUUCUUACAGGAUGCUUGGGAAAGGCCGGUUCUCGAUCGCGUGGGCUUGAUCAUCGAGAUUUUUGGCAGUCGUGCACGAUCCAAAGAAGCCAAGCUUCAGGUAACUUCAAAUAGAUAGUGUGUUGAUUAUAUGAUGGUGUCUUUCAGGUGGAACUUGCUGCUCUAGACUUUAAGAGAACAAGGCUCAUCCGAGAAAAAGGAGAACGAAAGGCGUUUGGAGCUGGUGGAGAGCAGGAGGUUGUGAGUGCACGAGGGUAAAAAUAACUUCUUCUUGUCAUCGAGGAAGAAAUUCGUAAUUCCUUUUUCCUUCUUCAUAGGAGAGCAAGUGGUGGUGGUGGUCGAGGAUUUACGAGCGGAUCAGGAGAGUCGGAAUUGCAGCUACAACGACGGAGGUACAGGGCUUUUUGUUUUGGUUUGUCAUCUCUCUUGUUUGAUAUUUAGUUUUCAACCAGGAUUUCGGAUCAAAAGCAUAAAAUCCAGCUCGCUCUUGCGAAAGCAAAGCAGACACGAUCACUGCAUCGCCGCAACCGAGAAGGCAUUCCGUUGGUUGCAGUCGUAGGAUACACGAAUGCUGUAAGUUGACAGUCUUGUUAUGCGUUGAUUGCUGAGAAACAAGAUAGCAGUACACUGCAGGGGAAGUCGACACUCGUUGGAGCUCUAUCAAAGAGCAGCCUCUACUCGGAUGACAGGUUCAUGAGAAACGCUUUUCUUUUCAGGUAAAGUUUUAUCGCUCUGUUUCAUAGGUUGUUUGCAACGCUAGACACGCAGGUGCGAAGUGUGAUUCUUCCUUCAGGGUAAAAUAGUGUCGACUCUUUCUUGUUUGUACUCAUUGCUGUGUUUCUGCAGAAGAAGGGUCCUGGUGAGUGACACCGUUGGAUUCAUAUCGGACUUGCCUACUCAGGUUUGUGAAGAUUCUCAAGCACUCAACAUCUACUUAUGUUUGCGUGAAUUUUGGAAGCUCGUGGAAGCGUUCCAUGCAACUCUAGAAGAAGUUGUUGCUGCGGACAUUGUUUUGGUAAGUACGCUUCUUUGAUCCUGAUUGAAGGUAGCCUGUUCCAUGUUUUCAGCAUGUCAUGGAUUCGAGCGCUCCAAACAUGGACGAGCAGCGAGAGGCAGUUCUUAAAGUCCUGGGAGAAAUAGGAGUCUCUCAACAAGAUCUAGACGAGAAGACGAUUGAAGUGAUGAACAAGGUGGGUGCAUGCUUGGCGUGACGCUGUGUUACAAGUUUCUAGUGGUUUUUCCAGAUCGAUGUUCAUCCAGAUUGUGGCGAUCUUGAUCUUCCAGCGGGUUUGCUUCUGUGCGAUGGCAAUGACGAAGACGCCCUGGUGAUCCCGUCCUCGGAGGAGUACAGGAAAGCAGUGGGAGCGGCCAACGCUCUAUCAAAUGGAAUCCAAGUCUCAAAUCCAGAAGAAGUGAAGGAAGAACACAAAGAAGAAAGUGAAAGCGUCGAGCACGAAGAAGUUGAGCUAUGGGGAACACAGCUCUUAAAGGAUGGAAAAAUAGCUCGAGUUUCUACGUCGGCAACGCAAGGCACUGGUUUGGAAAAUCUUUUGCAAGUGAUUGACUCGAGGCUUAAAAAUAAAUCAUAAGACCCAUACAACGCCAGUAAUUUAGGGUUCUUGAUGGAUCGAGAGCUCACGCGUUGGAUCCGCGGAGCUCCGGUAAGCUGGGUAUGACGCAUUCCAUCCAGCGAUGGCGGGAAGCGACAUCGAUCUGGAUGCGCUACUCGAUGCUCACAGCAGCGACGAGGACGACGCCGAUCUUCCCGAGCUCGACAGAAGCAUCGACGAUAUUCUACUCGAUGCCGAUGAGGAGGAGGAGGGUGAUGUGGAGCGAAAUUCGGAUAUUUCGGCCGCGAUCCCGGAGAAGAAGCUCGAGAGCGGGAUUGAGAGCCAGGGAUCACAGGCGGGUUUAGUGAGUACAGGGGUGUCCAAGACUGCUCCAAGGCUAUGGGACAUCAGUGGAACGAUUCCAUUCUAUCAGGUGACCACCAAGCCAAGUCCAAAGCCUGGCGCUGCUUUGGCGGCUGCUACUGCUGCUUCGAGACACAGUGGAACGACUACUCGCACAGCGUCUCUCAGGGAUGUUCCUAGUGAAACUCCGGACGAGUCGGGAAGCUUGAACGAAGAAAAAGAAGAGGUCGAAGAAAAAGAAGAGGAAGAGCAAAAGGGACUCGACUGGGUUUCAUCAUCGAUAGAAUUCGUUAGCAACGAGGAUACAAGUGCUGCGAAGAGAGACCAAGUGGAAAUGGAGGCGACGCCGGUUUCUCUCUCGACAGAGGACACAGUUUCAUCAUCGUUAGAAGGUGGCGAGGUUUUGGACGAGAGGAUAGAAGUGGCUGUAAAUACCGUGGAUCUUACCGAGGACAACGAGAGCGACCUUGUUGCCGUCCAGAUACUCGACGAGAAGCUAGAACGAGGCGAAGACGGCUCAUCAUCGACUGAAAGCUCCGAAGAGAGCGUGCUGGAGGAGGCUUUUGAUGAACAUACUUCCCCUGAAGUGGAAGAAGUGAAGUCUCUAAUGGUUGAGGCAGAAGAGCGGGAGAAACGAGCAGCGAACUCUGGUCUUCACUUGGAGGAAGGAGCUGCGGCGCAGCCAAUGCAAUUGGAAGGCAUUCAGCGCGGGCCUCCAGCCAUAGGCCUGCUGCAGCUGGACUGGGGUGGACCUCUGUCCUUCGCGCUUUCUUCCAUAGCCAUGAUGCGUGACCACGGGAAUCCACGGUGCUUGGCAGUUCAAGCAAACUUCAUUGCGGUGGGAAUGUCGAAAGGUACUGUACUCUUGGCUUUAAGCAAGUACUCCGCCACUACCACAGCAGACAACAACGAAGCUAAGGUGACUAUUUUCUUUUAGUUUGCUAUGCUGGAACUCACAUUUUUGUAUGCUCAGGUGGUUCUCUUGAGUAAUGCCGCAGACAAGUCUCACGCCUCUGCGAGUGUGAUGUGCUUCAGCUUUCUUGGAGACCUGCUUCUAGUGGGAUAUACUAAUGGGUCUGUGAUACUAUGGGACGUUCCAAAAGCUGCGGUAGCUAAAGCCGUCACAGGAGAGCAUCACAACGUGAUAGUUCAUGCAGCAUUUGUAGGACAGGACGGUUCAACAGGUCGCCCCUUAAAAGCCAUGACUGCAGAUUGUAAAGGGGUGGUGAUGCUCCAUACCUUCACACUUGUUCCACUGCUGCGCCGCUUUUCAGUCACAACACAGGUGGUAUCUUUUUUUCAUUUUGAGUAGGCUUGACCAUGUCCUACUUGCAGUGCCUUCUAGAUGGCCAACGGACGGGUGUUGUCCUCUCACUGGCACCUCUGCUGCUGACUGAAAGUUUACUUCAGAAUAUUACAGGGUCUGGUAUCACUGGGGCAGCUGGAAACGAUGCGGGAAGGAAGUUUUUGUACGACGGAUCUUCUUCGUCUGACGAAACCGGGGGCCUGGUUGUAUUUGUCACUCAGCAGAUUGCUCUUGUGGUAAAUAUUUGAUAUUGUUUAUCAUGGUAACUACACUGACGUUCUUUGCAGUUUCGAUUAUUGCCUGCUUUAGAAAUAUGCGCGAAACUAACACGGCCGGAAGGUGUUCGAGAGGGGUCGAUACCGUAUGCAUCUUGGAGGGGUGUCUCAUCUAUGAAGUCGGAAAGCACUGCCCAAGGUCAAGACGAGCCUUUGCUUGCUCUUGCCUGGGGAAAGAAGGUCCUUGUUCUUCAACUUCAAAAGGCCGAUCUUAAAGUGCUGGCUGAAUGGGAUAUUGAUAACAAAGCCGCUGGAGUAGCUUGGCUUGGUGACCAGGUAAGACGAACUUGUUUGAGACUGUUCCUCUUUAACGAUAUUGUUUUGACAGAUGCUUGUGGUCGCCACUGUCAAAGCUGAACUUUGUCUAUUCACAAAGGAAGGUCUUGCACUUGAACGUGCUGCCAUACGAGACAAUGACGGGCACACAGAGCCUUUGACAUUUCACACCUACUUUCUGGAGACGUGCAACAAUCCUGAGAAAGUUUAUGGAAACUCUUUAGGAGUCCGAGGGGCAGCAUCUUAUUUUCUGGGAGCUUCAAAGCUCUGGAGGGCUCGGCUACUUCCUUGGCAGGAUAGAAUAAAGGCACUUCAGGAUGCUGGUGACUGGAUGGGCGCUUUCCAGAUUGCAAUGGAGUUGUUCGAUGGACGGGCAAGAGGUGUUACUGGCUUACCUUCUGGGCUUCGUGCAAUGCAGGAAGCUAUUAUGCCAAAUCUUCUAGCAUUGCUGUCGUCGUACAUCGAUGAAGCUUUCGCUUAUGUUCGUUUGGCUCUUGGUGUGCCUGAAACUGAAGCUGCCAGGGAACAGUAUGCAAGAGUCGGGCGGGUUGCAAUAGAGUUUUGUGUACAUAUCAGCAGGACCGACGUACUUUUUGAGAACGUUUUUCGAAAGUUUGAUGAGGUCGCCCAAGCAGGUACGUACGUCUCUUAGCGCUUGAAGAGGUAGCUCUAAUGUUUUUGUGUUGUUCGUUCAGCAACAUUUCUGGAGCUGUUGGAGCCUUACAUUCUGAAAGACAUGCUCUGCGGCCUUGCACCAGAGGUUUGUUGCCUUAAAGUCAUACAAAUGUUUGUUUAAGCCGGUUGUUUCAGAUCAUGCAAUCUCUCGUUGAGCACUACAGCAGCAAGGGGUGGUUGCAAAGGGUCGAACAGUGCAUUCUUCACAUGGAUAUUGCGUCAUUGGACUUCAACCAGGUUUGCGUCUCUGUACGUUCGUUGUCAUUUUUCCUACUGUGUUUUAAGGUUAUGAGACUUUGCCGGGAGCAUGGAUUAUUCAGCGCUCUGAUUUAUCUUUAUAACAAGGGCUUAAAUGACUUCAAAUCGCCAUUGGAAGAACUGCUGAUCGCUGCGCAGGAUCAACAUCAGGAAAAUGCUUCGUCUUUUGGGUAUGUUCUACAUGCUUUCGCAUAAGCAAAGCUUAUUUCUCCGUUGUCAGGUAUAAACUUUUGGUAUAUCUCAAGUAUUGCUUCUCUGGUCUUGCGUUUCCUCCUGGUACGUCCGUCUGUUUACAGCUUUAUCAAGUUUGCUCAUAUCAUGCUCAUGCUUAAGGUCGUGGAUCAUUACCUGCUGAACAAGUAUAUGGACUCAAAAUACAGCUUUUGGAGUAUUUACUCGACCCCGCUGGCUCUGGAAGAGAUGCAGAGUCGGUAUAUGCAGUUUAUCCGAGGCUUCAUUAUCUACUCAACCUGGAUGUGUCGGCCACCCUGGAUGUUUUCAAAGUAGCUUUGGGGAACGUAAAGGAGGCUGAAGGACAUCUGGUCCAGCUAACGAUUGAUCCUCUUGUCCACAUUGUCGAAACAGUUCUAUGCAUGGACACCGAGUUCAUUGACAAGACAAGCUACAUUUUACAGUUUAUUGCCGACUAUGUAUCUGCUGGGGCUGCUUCUAUACCUCCUACAACACUAGAUCGGAUUCUAAAUCUAUUUCUGGACAAUACUCAAGAAAGCAUUCUCCCUGAUCGCGAGGAACUUACGGUGAAAGUUUUGGAGGCCGUUCCCGCGGAAGACUGGGAUCCUGAUGCUGUUCUUGAGCUAGCUAAGAAAACUCAAUUCUGGCGGGUAAGCAUGCUUGUUCCUGAAAAUGCUUUGUAUAGAAUUUUCCUACGCAGGUGUCCGCGUUGGUCUAUACACGGAAAGGAGACCACAUAUCCGCACUUUAUAGUCACCUAGAGGAUGUUUCUCGACCACGCCAUACUUUUAACUUCGUGAUAUCUAAGCUUGAUCGGGAAAAUGGCCUCAAGGGAACUGCAUUGACAGAAUUCCGUGCGGCUGUAAUCUCUCGUAUUCAUCACCUUGUACAGAAGAACAGGUAAAACACCUAGUUUCUGUUUUGUUCUUUCAGUGCUUUAACUAGUGUUUAUUAUUAUUAUUUAUCGUACAGGAUUGCAGCUUUCUAUAUAGUUCUUGAAUACUUCAAUGACCAACUCGACGAUGUGGUGAAAGCCUUACAACCGUUUCCACUCUCUCUGUUUAACUUCCUGAAAGCUCUUAUGGAAGUCCGUGCCAUCUCAGAUACUAUCAGUGAUGUGCAAGUCUCAGAAGUCGACUGCGAUCCCUGGGAUGACCGAUCCCGACUAGCAACGCUACUGGAAAACAUGCGUUUGGAGGUCACGGAUGACAUGGUCGAGGAAUAUAUAGAGGUUUGAUAUGACCUUUACCAUUUUUGCCGUUUAAGCGCAGUUUUUUUUCACAGCUUAUGUGCGAGCUUGAGCCUAGUGGCGUACUGAAUUUUCUUCAAGGCCAUGAAAAUUAUAGGCUUGAACAAUGUUUGAAGCUGUGCCAGAAGUAUGGGGUGAAAGACGGUGCGGCUUUUCUUCUCGAACAAGCUGGUGAUGUUGGCAGCGCUCUGACUCUUAUUCUGGGUGACCUUUCGAAGUUAUUCCAUGAACUUGAUGCGGCAGUUGCAAUAAUGUGCACUGCAUCAAGCACUGGAACGAACAUUCCUGAGGUAAGUGAGAAGCGUUAUGACAUGGUUUUAAUGUUCACGAUCUCUUCUAGGAGCAAGCUUUGCAUUCAGUUAAGAAUGCCGCGGUUUCUCUUUGCCAAAGAAAUACUUUUCGGCUUGAUCCCCAGGAAGCCGAGUCCCUUUGGUUUCAUCUGCUGGACAGGUAGGAGUUUGUAAUCUCUAGCUUAAUCCCACGCAACCUUGCUACAGAUUUAUUCACCCUCUGGAUGCUCUGAAUUCGUCGAAGCACAACAAAGCUGUGAAACCAGCAGAUACAGGAUCAUCAUCUCGCUACGAGUGGCAGGUUUUUCAAGUUAUCGGUGCAGCGAGUGUUCUCCGAAAGAUGCUUUCUAAGUUUGCUGGGGACAUUGUCACGGGUAUGAUUGGUCAUGUACCCGUGCAAGUGAUUUUGAACAAGAUCGUAUCGGAUCAUGGUAACCACGAGCUUGGCGAUUUCAAGAACACCAUUCUCGAAAUGCUGAGUGCGUAUGGCUACGAGUUGGCAAUUCUGGUAGGACAUGAACUUCUUUCUAUUCUUAAACAAGGACUCGUUGUCCUACAGGGUACUGCAAGGCGGAUACUUGAAACUGACAUGUUUCACGACAUUCAAACACUUAAGAGAGGCCGAUCUCGUGGAUUAAGUCCCUUGACAGCCAGCUGCAGCGUGUGCAGUCACACGUUUGUGGAAGAUCAAAGUGCAAGGAAGGGCGUACAAAUUUUCUCUUGUGGGCAUUUAGUCCACCUGAGCUGCAUGGAGGACGCUAACUCAAAGUCAAACCGGUGCCCGGUUUGCAUGCGUCACGACGUAGGCACGGAUACAAAUUACAACAAUGGUUACAACAAUGGAAGCUUUCCUCAAGAUCGUAAGGGUAAAGGCCACGAACAGGCUAUCGAAGAACGGCAACCAAUUCGGAAACAAGGAGUCUCCAGAGUGAGUGAUUUCUUUUUUCUGGAAAUCUCCUCUCUCGACUGAUUGUGACGGUCUCUUGCUGCACAGUUUGAAUUGCUGAAGAGUCUCCAGAAGGGAGAACCCCUGCCUGAGCUGAAUCCUGAUUUACCAAGGCUACAGCUCUCGCCUCCGAUCAAGUACAAGCACAGGCCUUCCAGGCCGCUGUCUGGCUAUAGCAACACCAACAUCAGCGGCAACUCUAGCAGAAGACCCCUACAGCAAAAAUCGCAUUCCUUGCGCGUUCUCAAAGCAAAAUGAUAAACAACAAGCUCGUCAUGCUCUACACCUUUCUGGCGAAUUCAAAUUUGCUAUCGUAUGAAGAGGUACGUGAUCAUCUAGUAGGUUAUAACGCCGUCCUUCUAGGAGAAGUCCAUUCUAUAUCCUAUAUCGGAAUGUGACAUGGCGUGGCAGAUGACGGGCUCCUUGGCCGCUGGAGGUGAGACCGAUCAGCACGCAUGCCAGCAUCCUCGGCAGUGGAAAGGAGUCACCAGAGUUUCUCGACAUAGCGGCCGAAGCUCGGGAGUCGACUUCAUGUCUUCCAAGGUGGACGUGCAGCUGUACAAGUGCCACGAGCAAGGUCGCCAUUUCAAGUUUACAGGAUGGAUUCUUGCGACCAGCGUCCAACACGGUCGGGCCAUUGUGGCCGAGCUCUCACGGUCCAGCACUCAAAUUCUUCCAACUUCCACUGCACGAAUGACUUACCUCUACACAGUCUUCUGCGACUGCCAACACUGUAUGGAGCAGCUGUUUGAGCUACUGGCGCUUGAGGUCAAUGAGCAGGACAAUUGGAAUGGGAGGCAUGCUUUCCGGGACAGUCGAUCGAUUCGAAAGAGUAACUCGAUUCUUCUUUUAUUCUUUGGCUCGAUCGUCGCGUCCGAUCCAACUUUUUAUUUCCAGGUCUUCGAGACAAAAUCUGGCCGCAACGUCGUUGCUUCUUCUCGGUAAAGUGUCUAUUUUGCCUGCAGAUAGACAAUCCAAACUCUUUUAGUGCCGCAGAACAUGGGCUAGAUCAAACAAUGCGUUGGAGAACUCCAGCAUGACGCAGAAUCCGAGAAAAGGCAACAGUCUCAUUGUCCCCCUUCAUGUAAUGAUAGCAAUUGUUGUGAUUUCUCAUUCCACUGGUGAUCCUGAGAGCCAUCUCGAUCUUCUCAGCAAACAAUCACAGUGCGAACAACUCUUGAGGGCCGUCAUCGACAAACUAAAGAUGACGAGGUGACGAGAGGCUUUGUGACAAAGAGAAAUAGCGAUGCAUUCCAUACUUACUUCCCCUGAUGCCUCGAUAGUCUUAACUGCGUAUAAUACGACAGAUAAAACUUAGUUUCCAGGUAUAACAUUCAUAGCAUUCUUACCUUCAAAUGUGCAAGAACCUAAAACUCCACAAUGGAAAUUAUUUGCCCAACCUAUACAUAAAAUGGCAUCACUUUUUGGCCUAAUCUUACCGUUUAUUUUCACUGGAUAUGACCCAAGGAUCAGAUUUAUGCUCUCCUACGCAUGAGCAGUAGUGUCUUAUGGGAUCAUUCCCACUAUGCUCUCCAUAGCUGUCUAUACGAGAGGUCUUGCAGUUGUUGAGAGCUGUGGAACCGGGGCUGUCACGGUGAUGUCCCAGACCUGGAGUUUCCAUCCUCAUAGACACGGGCAUUUGCGUGGACAUCUCUAGAGAUGAGCUAGCCCCAAUUGGAGGAGCUAGCAUGGAGGACUUACAGAGGAAGGAACUUAUGGAUGUUGUGGUGGUGGUGGGCCGCUGUGAUCAUCCUUUUCAUUUGUCAUCAUCGAUGCACUGAUGAGUGUAUCUAUUUCCUGAGCAUGCAGAAAUAGCAAUACCUACAUGUGUGCAUAGAAGAGGAGGAAAUGCUGGAUCUUCCAAAAGCAUUAGAUUCUUGUUGUGUACUGAUAUGAAUAUUGCCAUGGAAUAUGUAUUGGCAUCUUAAGAACAAGUAUGUGGAGACAAUGUUAUAGAGUAGUGCUCUUUGUCUUUGUCUUUCUUUUUUUUAUCCUUCUCAGUAUCUCAGAGAAGGUGAUUUCACAUUAGAAUGUUUUUGUCCACUGGUUCCUUGAAUUCACAAUACACUCCAGAUCUGGACGUGGGAUUUCCAGCUGUAGAAGAUGAAGACUAUAAUAUUCCAUGAAACACCCUGUGCACUACACAAAGAACAAGUGUGUGUACUAUAUACACCAAUGCCAUAUAAAGCCAUUGUGUUGGGAGCAAUGGCCCCAUUGUUGUUUCUUUGACAGGUGGAAACAGUUGAGAAUGCUAAAGUUAAUAGAGUUUUCUAAAUUUCUCAUUGUUUGACAGGCUCAUUGAUGAAGUUAUUUAUGGUAAAAAAAAUUAAAAAUACUAUAAAUUAUUGGGUCCAAGUAUUUAGAGCUCACAUGUGUCUAAAAAUAGAAAAAAAGAAAUACAAAAGGAUUUAAAAAUAAAUAACAAUCCCAAGUGCACUAAAUAAAUACUCAUGGAAAAGAAACACUUAUAUAUGGUAUCAAAACUGUUUCCUAUUUCUUUAUAUCUAUGUUUGUUAAAUAUACAAUUUGUAUUUGCAACACCACCAACCCCCAUUCCAGAUGAUGAGCCUACUCUUAUAUAUGCUAAAAAUCCCUUUGCUAUCAAUGUAAACCCCUUCACACGCUUUUUGGGGCACAUUCGAGCAUAUAUUUUCUCAACAUUUCUUGAUGGUGAAACAUAUCCAACAGGAUUACGAAUUAUAAAUAUUCAUUUCCAUAGAUCAGGGUUUAAUAUCACUGCAAAUUUAUAUAUUUUAGAACCUGGGUUUGCUAGUCAACAAACUCUUAUACCAUAUGUUUGCACUACAGAUCCAACAAUUCCAUUAGGCUUUCAAGGUGAUGAGGUAAGAACCCUUUAUGAAAGAAUUUUAACAUUCAUUCAAGCAAGAGCUGCAUCAGAUACACAUGGGAUAUCCUUUUGUGGAGAAAUCCGUGUUGUUUAUUUCAAUCUUAUGAUUGACUAUGAGAUCACAGUACCACUUCCUCAACUUCCCCAUGAGAUGCUCAUGCAUAGUAAUUAUACUAAAGACUACAAAUCUGAAAUAGUUCCACAGCUACAACUUUUUCAUAUAGCAGAUUUGCAUAAAAAUUGUUGGGCAUUCUCAACUAUACUUAUUGGUCAGAAAACUAAUAUAGUUGGCUCUUCUAUUGAAAUUGGUAAUAGUUUAACUUCACCAAAUAAAAAAUUCAGACUAACUUUAGGGAGUGAUUGCAAGCUAAAGUUUUAUAAAAUUGGGUAUAGCAUCCCACUUUGGAUUAGUGAACACAAAUUUAACCCCCAGCAAAGCUGUUAUGCACACUUACAAGAGGAUGGAAACUUUGUUAUUAAGGAAAGUAAUAUUAAACAUGAUCAAAAUAAUGUUUAUUGGGCUAAUAAUAAGUAUUGUACACCACAACCCUCAUGUAAGAUCAUCACAACAUUAGUUGUGAGUAAUCAUGGAAAUAUUAUUAUUUAUUGGAACAGUAGAAUUUUAUGGAAAGCCUUGUGAAUUAUAUAUUUUGAGGCUUAUUAUAAAACUUAUCAUAAAUACUAUAAUUAGAUCAAAUUUAAAAUUACUCUAUACCAUAUAUACUAACAUUAGCAUUACAUUAGAAAUUUGUAGCUGUAAGUUUUGUAACUAUAGAUAUGCAUAUUUACAUAUAUCAUAAUAUAAGAUAAAUAUUUUAAUUAUAAUAGUGUAGCAUAUGGACUUGAUUAAGACGAGAUUUAAUCCAUGCAUUUAUUUAUAUAAACAAGGGUCUUUUCAAUUAUUAUAUCUUCAUAUUGAAAAUUAUCCCUAAAGGACAAGGGUUAUGCUUUUGAUUUUUUGUUUGUUUUGAUUUGCUUAGCUUUUUGUUAAAUUUCUUUUUAUUAUCAUUUUUGCUCUUUAUAUUGCAUUUCCUCUUUUUGCCAUAUCAUGCCAUCAAUUAAAGAGUGUAUCAUCAAAGUAAGUGUCAAUAGUUCUUGAAGAAGUCUACAAAUCUCAAUGACGAUUUAGUAGUGAUAGGCUUGCUUUACUGGAUGGUGUGGUCCAUUAUCCUUAUCUGGCAACACUAUUCUUGCUAUUGUAUCACAUGUGGAUUGAGCUUUUGGUACUAUUGGGUGUAUGAUGUUGCUUUAAUAUUUAGUAUACUGUUAUCUCCAACUUUUGUAAAAUAUGAUUACACUAUGUGUCCUAUUCUUAAUAUCUGAUUGGAAUAUACAAUUGUGAAGGGUAGAAUGUCCAAAUGGUACUGAGCACAACCACACAUAAGAGAGCUUGGCCAAAGAAUGCUAGCUGAUCCUUAAUAUCCAUUAAAGAGGAAUGAGAACAAUAGAGAGGAGGGAAGAGAGAGAGAGAGAGAGAGAGAAUAAAAAUCUACCAUACUCUAUACUUAUAGUGCAUUCUAUCUCUCUUCUCUUAAGCCAACUGAAAAAGGGGCAAUUGUUUGAUUAAUAGCUAUUUUACCCGUAUUGUAGUCCCACAGUGGAUACCUUUAUCCAUGGAUACUCCACACAAGAGGAAAGACAUAAACAUGGAUGUCCAAUAUGUACAAUUUUAAAUUUUAGGGGUAAAAAUAUAUUUUGCUCAAGGGUAUAUUAUAUUUUUAAGUAGCCACUAAUCAAUGGGAAUCGAAUCCAUACCAUUUGCUCUGAUACCAACUGUAGCUCACCCUAUCUCUCUCCCCUUAAUCCAACUAGAAAAGGGGCAAUUGUCCUUAGUGGCUAUUUUAUCCCCCAUUUAUCCCCUAACGUUUCAAGGAUCUACGGUGACAGUAUAUCUAAAUCUCAUCCCAUAAUCACAUGCGUGUAAGCCACAAAUGUUUCCUUUCCAAUUUGCCAGCUUACCUCGUCUAUUUGACCAACACUGCCUUGGCUUGUGCUAAGUUCCCUCACCAAGGUUCCCUCCUAUUGUACUAGCUCCUACUUGGUCCUACUUUGUUUCAGCUACUCACUACAUGAGCAACGGAGCGUUAGCCAUCCAUCCACGGAUUCCCAAAUCUCUCCCAAUCCCCCUCCCUGGGUUAGACUAGACUUAAGGUUUGGCUACACUCCUCGCAGGCACAAGCAGCUAAGCACACCAAGCCUCUAGGUUUCUAACACCCCUUGGUACAACAAGACUUGAUCAUAGGACCCUCUAAAUCCCAAGCCUUAGGUGCAACACUUGCUUCGGGACAUCGGGGCGAAACACCGUGGCUUAACGGCCUGAUAUGGGUACCUCUACCCCCCCACUUCCAUCCCGAAGGGAAGGCCCAAGCCCCUAAGAAGGGCGAGGACCAAUGAGCCACAAGGUACUCAAGUGGGGCACCACUCCACAUGAGUUGGGAUCACUAUAGUCAAUUUUCCUUUCGGGAGUGGGAGUUGCUCUUGAGCACUUCUUUGGGUGGCCCCUCUGGCACCACCCAAGCCUAUGCUCACUCCCACCCAAGGCCCCUCGGCCCCAAUCUCAACCUCAAGUCAGUUUGGAAAAACACUAUUGGAGAGUUCUUUCAAGACUGGUUCCUAAACCUCACUAUCCCUACUAUAUUGAUACUUUUGGAACCCCCUGCAGCCCCCCCCCCCCCCCCCCCCCGAAAUUAUAUACCUUUGUGUAUUGCUCUUCAUUAAAAUGGUAUAAGUGGACAGUCUAUACCAUAUGAUUCAGACUCUUCUUCAACAUCUAAGAGUGAUGCUCUUCCAUGAGACUAACAAAAAUCUCAUGCAAAAAAAUGUCUUUAUCUAUAACAAAGAAGUUUGAAAAUGACAAUAGAAGUUUACUCAUAUUUCUUAAACCUGACUAUGUAUGCUAUCCUUAUAAAUUCUGUCAUAAAAGACCAUCUAACUAUUUCAAAUAUGAAUCACCUUGCUAUUGGUUUGGAUUUUUCAGUACCAAUACCUUCAAUCUAGACUCCACCAUGGCACCCCACCCAGCAACAAGCAAGCCUUGCCUCAAAGGUGACCUUUAUCAAAGGAUGAGUAGACAUGUGCUAUAGGCCAUACCAUGGAUGUGCAUAAUAGGCAUGUAUGGAAGAUCAUAAAAAACAUCUGAUCACAUUGGAUGCCCAUUGGAUGUGCAUAAUAGACACAUAGUUAUGACAGGCCAAUCAAAUGUUGCCACAUGGUUUACGAAUAACACGCCAUACAUACCCCUGCCAUCCUAUAUAUAUGCCCUGGCUCUGGGCCAUAUGAAAUGGUUGAGUGAUGAAGCAAAAGCCACUCCCUGCACCAACUAUAUUGCUGGAUGACAGAAGCUUGCUGAUUCUAGAGGGUAUGGUCCAAGUCCAGAUGCAAAAGCCUGAGGCACAAAGUCCUUCAAAAUACGCUGGGUAGGGACAGGGGAAAUGGAGGACACCUAGGUCACAAAGGAACAGUUAAAGAAGCUUGAGGAGUUCAUCUAUUCAACUUAGAAGACUUUGUAAGGUAGGGCAUAUAUAGGAUGGCAGGGGUAUGUAUGAAAUGUUAUUUGUAAACCGGUGCUCUUUGAAAAAAAGUCUGUUCAAAUCUUUUUAAAUUUUGGUUUUUGUCUUCCAGCACAUUAAAUAUCUCUAGAGAGAGCUUUACAAGAAAGUGAUAUGGUUUUAUAAGCAAUUAUUUAAGUCAAUGGAGGACAUUGGUAUUUUAGAUGUCAAAUAUAUGGCAUAUACAAAGAUUGAGGUGUGUAUUUACACUUUAUAUUGCUAAGGACCUUGUGCAUUGGGUUGUGACUUGGAACAUCCAUAAGGUUCAAGCAUUUCAAAAUGGUGACUAUUUCAGAGCUUCUCAUGUUCCUAUAAUUUGUUUCAACUUAUGGGUAAGAACAUAGAUAUAUGCUGUUUGUUUCUUUAAUAUAUUUAUUAUUUUCAUAGCAUAGUCAGAGUAUUGAGCAGUAAGGGUAUUGAACUCUUGUCUGGACUAUUUCUAUGAAGUGUUGAAGGUGCUCUUUGCCAUAAAUAUUUAGUUUUACCUUUUUUAUGAUGUGCCCUACUCUAACAAUUUCCUUGUUUUGAGUAACACAUAACAAUAAUUUGAAAUCAAGCAUUUCACUCUAUCAUACUAGGCUAAAUCUGGAUGAACAAUACCUUUUACACUUAGACUUGUCAAUGCAAUAUGCACUAGUAAAUAUAAAACACAUCCCACUUAUAGAUUACAUUGCAACAACACUACCCAUUGUGACUCCAAUCACUAAAAGAGCUCUUGGGAAGUUGCAGAUAGGCAUUCUCCAUCUAUCUUAGUUUUAAAUUCUUUAAAAUUUGUUUGUUCUUUCAGGUGUAUUCCAAUUUUAAGUAGUGGAAUUCAAAUGUUGUCACUAACUAUGUAAUAGUAUUAUUGAUUCACAAACAAAAAUAUAACAAAGCAUGACUAUAUUCCUAGAUCAGGAGAUUGGUAAGCAUGAAGUACAUAUGUGAACAACAUGUUUUGAAUCAUAUGGCAAGUUAUAAAAGGUAAUAAUUUUAUAUGAAAAACAUACAUGCUAUAACUUGGUAUAAGAGCUAAGUGCACUUCACCACUUUGAGCAUACUUGAAAAGCAUAGCAUUCCAUGAAACACAGUCCUAAAUACGCUCUUGAAUGUUGUCCAUACAAAGUACUUUGGAUGAAGCUUUGAUUAAGCUAUUGUCCUUUUCCUUAGGGUGUGACAUUUUGGCCUAUACCAUACAUACACCUAGUAUCCAACGUUGAAAGUCCUGAAGGAACACUUCUAGUUGACAUAGAAGCUCAUUCACUGCCUUGCAGCUUUGAGCCUUCUCUUCACCAAAUAGUGUAUUACAGCCCGCCUCCAGGUGUUCGGCUGUAGACAGACAAAUUGGGAAGGUACACUGUGGUGCCAAGUAUGGGGCUAUGCCGAUUGGGGAAUAAACAGCAUAUACCAACCACUUCACCUAGGACGUUGGUUUGUCCAUACAAAAAGCCCAUAGCAAGGCCUCAAGAGUCUGAUUUCAUUCACUUGGUUUGCCCAUCACUCUGAGGGUGAUACGUGCUCAAGAAGGUGAGUUUGGUCCCCAGGAUGAACAGCAAUAUUCAAAAGGAGCUCAAGAACUUCAAGUCCCUAUAAGAGACUAUCUCCCUCAGUAUCCUGUGAAAGUGGGCUAUCUCCAUCCAGAACAGCUCGGCCACCUUUUCUGUAGAUGCCUUUGAUGACACCUGGCCACAUCAUGCCCUCCCACUGUCGGUAGCCCCACAACAAAGUCUAUUGAAAUGCUAUCAAAUGGAUGAGCAGAAGUCCCAAGGAAGCCUCUAUCUCCAAUUUUGUUAUCUAGCAUGCUGGACACUGCACUAUUAGUGAUGCAUGUCUUUUAGGAGGCCCUUUCAAAUAAAAUCUGCUCUUGAUCUCCACAAGCAUCUGUCCUAUACCAGGAUGGCCUACGAAAAUCCCUAUAUGGCACUCCUUGAAGAUCACACAAGGCACUAUUUUUGCUUAUAACUAUUGGGGAGUGUUUUUAUUUUGGAAUAGGGUAGAUUUAUUAAUAGCAAUGGGUGUGGUUUAUUAUAUCCAAGAAGCAAGGUUGGGAGCUUGGAAACAGUCACAAUUGGUGAGGUGUUCAAAGUAUAAAAACUUUGCGAUGCAUUGCAUGUAGCAACAAUUGGUUUGCUUAAUAGUAGUGUUAUUCUUACUUAUUAAUCCAAAAUAAAUUUUAUAAUUAUAGAUAUGUUUAUAAUUUAUAAAAACAAGAUUAAUCUUAUUACAUAUCAACCACUAGAUGGUAGAAUAAAAAAUAAUAUACUAAAAAGUGUUUAAAAUUUUUAUAAAUUACAAACAUAUUUAUAAACUAUAAAUACAAGAUUAAUCUAAAUGAAUAACAACUAUUAGAUGGUAGAAUAUCCUAGAAUAUCCACUACCAUCUCUAUAGGUUUGCUUAAGCAAACCAAAAAUAGUAAUAGGGCGUUUGGAUCUUUUAUAUAUACCAUAGGUAGAUAUAUAAGGGUUAGAAUUGAUUUAUUUUUUGGAUAUAUCUUGGGUUUUUUAUUUUUUUUUAACACAGCCAUUUAUUUUUAUAUUCAAUUUCAAGAGUUCACCCCAAGGUUGAUGCGCAGUCUAGUCUCCUCAAAGAAUUGAGUCAGUGUAAUGUUAAGCAAGUUCACUAUGUUGAUUAUCUUGUUUAGGCCAUAGUAUUUUAUAAUAAUAUAUCUUUUGUUAUUCAGCCUUUCUACUUGGAUGAAGUCUUUUGUAAUAUAAGGGUUUCUAUUAUCUAUGAUUCUUUCUUUUUACUUCCUCAUUGUUGUUUAUUUCUUCAAUGUUUCUUUAUCUUUUUUUUCCAUUUUCAUAUUCUUUCUUUCUGAAAUUUUAUUGCUCUUUCCUUUUUACUUUGAUAAUUCAAACUUCUUUUCCUUAAAGGAGAGAGGGGAUGCACAGGAAUCUAGCCCAAUGAUGGAGUAAAGAUAAACAAUAAUGGUAUUAGAAUAAAGAUAAUUAUAAUAAGUUAAAACAGAACAUUUGGCCUGACUGAGUAAGGUAAAAUGGAUAUGAUAGUAGAGUGAAGUUAAACAUAGUGAGAAUGAGGUAUACCCAGUAAAACAUAUAAUUCAAAAGGUGGAUGACAAUUGAUAUCAAAGUAAUUUCAAAAGAGCCAUCAAAAGGAGAAGCCCAUGCAAUGAUCUUGUUACCUGCUUUCAUGGGGAGUGUGAGGCUCUAGUGUUUCCAAGUGCAAGGAUUGAUAGGGAGUUGACAAGCUUUUGCCCUUAUUGAUUCAAGGAUGUCCCAUAUGUUUGUCAAUAGUUUAUUACUCUCAAAACUCAAAUUCUCUAUAGGAAAGGUACCAUUGGAGCUGGCUAUUGAGAUAGCUGAUGGAGGAAUUAUGAAGUUGACCAUAAUCACACAAAGUGAAUUCAAUAUGGGAGGUUUCAUGAUAUAUGGCCAUUUCCAUGUGUUGGAGAUGGGGAUCAUUAAUAUCAUCAUUGGCAUUAAGACCCUUCACCAACUUUAGGAGAUCUCAAUGAACUUUGUUCUGCAGAUCUUGUGGCAAGGGGUAAACCAAUCUCCAUCAAUUCAGAUUGCCUUGGCAGCUCAAUAUUCUUAAUUAGUGGCAAACGGAGUUGAGCUGGUGCUUUAUCAUUCAUCCAUAGGAGUUUGAGAAAAUCAUGUAGGGAGCAUAUGGACCUAAGUAGAUCUUAUGGUGGGGUCUAGUUAGUCCAGUUGAGACAUAGACAAGAAGAAAGUAGAGAAGAAAGUAGGGCAUUAGUGGAUGAAUGUGACAGUGUGAGUGACAAGACUUAGAAGAAAAUAUGGAUAUUGGAGAUGGUUGUAAGCAACUAAAGAGAAUGAUUUGACACGAUCCAUGGGGUUCAAAUAUAGAGGGAAAGGGCCUAUGAACAAAAAUGCACCUUUUUUUUUCAUUCGAUUAAGGGAUCUUAGAUAUUUGGGAUUAAGUGUCCUUGGGUUUGAAUAGUAUUGGGCUGGGUGACCUCCUGGGAAGUUCAAAUUCAGAAGUUUACAUUUGGUAUUAGAGAGCUCUCAAAGUCUAAUUUUAUUGGUUGACUUAAGGGAAUUACACCACAUGUUGAGAUUGAUAUCUGGUAGGUUCAAUUUGCUUCUAGCUAGGCUCGACUUGAGGGGUAGGGUUCUCUCAGCUUUCAUUCAUGAGGGCAUGAACUUACAGAGAAAUGUAGUGAAUUGUAAACAACCAAAGAAAAAAACUUGAGAGACGAUCCAUGGGGUUCAAAUAUAAAGGGAAAGGGCCUAUGAACAAGAGUACACUGUGAGACACAAAUCCCUACACCCCAAAGUGGAGCCGAAAAGAUGCCACAUGGUAGUGGCCGAAGCGAAAGCCAAACAAGCAUAACACGUUUGGACUAAAAGCUCCAACUUGAGGAGUCCGAGAUAGAUUUGAGAUGGAGUCCGAGAUGGAGUCUGAGAUAGACCUGAGAUGGAGUUCGAGAUGGACCCGAGAUGGAGUCUUAAAUGGAGUCUAAGAUGGAGUCUGAGAUGGACCAAGAUGGAGUCCGAGAUAGACUCGAGAUGGAAUUCGAGAUGGAGUCUAAAGAAGACCUGAGAUGGAGUCCGAGAUGGAAUCCAAGAUGGACCUGAGAUGGAGUCUGAGAUGGACCGAGAUGGAGUCUGAGAUGGAGUCCGAGAUGGAGUCCAAGGUGGACCCAAGAUGGAGUUUGAGAUGGAGUCUAAGGUGGACCCAAGAUGGAAUCUGAGAUGGACCGAGAUGGAUUCUGAGAUGGAGUCUGAGAUGGAGUCCGAGAUGGAGUCCAAGGUGGACCCGAGAUGGAGUUUGAGAUGGAGUUCAAGGUGGACCCAAGAUGGAGUCCGAGAUGGAUCGAGAUGGAUUCUGAGAUGGAGUCUGAGAUGGACCCGAGAUGGAGUCUGAGAUGGACCAAGAUGAAGUCCGAGAUGGAGUCUGAGAUAGACUCGAGAUGGAAUCCGAGAUGGACUUGAGAUGGAGUCCGAGAUGGACCGAGAUGGAGUCUGAGAUGGAGUCCAAGAUGGAGACCGAGAUGGAGUCCGAGAUGGAGUCCAAGGUGGACCCGAGAUGGAGUCCGAGAUGGACCAAGAUGGAGUCUGAGAUGGACCUGAGAUGGAAUCUGAAAUGGAGUUCGAGAAGGACCCGAGAUGGAGUCUGAAGUAGAGACCAAGACCAAGACCGGGACCGAGACCGAGACCGAAGUCGAGACUGGGACUAGGACCAAGACCGAGCCUAAGCUCGAAUCCGAGUCCAAGUCUAAGUCUGAGUCUGAGUUUGAGUCUGAGAGGGUGAAAGCCCAAAGUGUUCGUCUCCCAAACCCUAGGGGGUUUGGUGAGCUCCAAAAGUAUAGUAGGAGGAGGACUCUAGUGGAACCAGUUUGGCCUAGGAAGGCUAUACCCAGAUGUUGGGUGACAGGAUAACCACUGGGAGGUCCAAGGCUAGAGUGAAUACGGACCAUCAAGUGGGAUAGCUUGGUAAAGUGUUCAAGAGCUGGCUCUAGUUCCCUGAGAGAUUGAAUGGUCAAUGCACCUAAUCCAAGCGUGGGUGGCACUACCUACUUGGAUACCUGGUGUGGCUUAACGGAACUUCACUUUAAGCCCAUGGCUAGAGCACCUAAAGGCAGAAGGUGGGGAGAGUACCCACGGGGCUCACGUAGGGCCACGGUAUUCUAAAAUGUUGUUCCGAUGUCCUAAACUAGGGAAAGGAGGAGGAGCAAUCCUUUAGUGUAGUGACUAAGGAUACGGUCACAUGGUGAGGAAGUCCCAAUGGACAAUGGGACUUAGUGGCCGGGCUUACGGGCCUUGAUUUAGUGGUAGUGUUGGCAAACAUAGCUAUUGACAGAAAAGGGACUUGGUAGGAAUUGACAAAGGGAUAUUAAGGAAGGCUAUCCCCCAUGUCUGUGGGCAUUCUAAAGAUGCUAAGGAGUGGAUCUGGGAUGACCACUCGUGGACGGAUGGCCCAGUCUUGGAGAGCCGGGACUGUGAUGCAAGUGGUAUUGGAUCACUAGUGUGGCAAAGGUGAAUGGGCAUGGCCUUAGCGUAACGGGCUGAUAUAUCAGUGGUACCUUUGAGUGUCGGUCAUGGGACCUGACACGUGGAGCACUUGGACCAAGUGCAACUAUUGAGUGGCAUCGAUGCCAUUCUUGGGGCUAGCAAGUCCCCAAGUCUGGAAUAGGACUUAUGGAAGUUGUAAGUGAGACUCCUCCAAGUGGUCAGAGGUGUGGUUAAGUGACUAAAGUAGAAUGGAAAAUUUAGUCGCUUACAUACACUUCAUUUUCCAAUCGAUUAAUGAUAUUUGGGAUUAAGUGUCCUUGGGUUUGAAUAGUACUAGGUUGAGUGACCUCUCGGGAAGUUCAAAUUCAAAAGUUUAUAAUGGUCACAGAUUAGGUAGGAAUAAGGCAAUAUUAAAAGCAUUAAAGGAUAUUGAAAAAGCAAACCUCUAAAAGGGUGACUAAGGUAUUGCAAAGAUUGAUAAGAGUCCAAUGAUAAGUUAGGUGUUAAACACCACAUCAACCUGAAAGUUGGUAUAGCACCUAUUGCUAAAGCAUUUGUCAAACUCAAUCAGGAGGAGAGGGUAGUGGUGGACAAAAUGGUGAAUUGUGUGUUGACUAUCGCCUCCUCAACAAGUCCACAAUCAAGAACUUCUUUCCAAUUCUGAACAUGGAAGAGCUCUUCAAGGAGCUGGGCUAGCUGUAUUUCUUCACCAAACUAGAUUUGAGAUUUGACUAUUACCAAAUAUUUGUCGCUGACAAGGACUGCUUCAAGACAGCUUUCGGGAUAGUGUAAGCAACUAAAUUUUCCAUUCUACUUUAGUCACUUAACCACACCUCUAACCACUUGGAAGAGUCUCAUUCACAACCUCCUUAAGUCCAAUUCAGGACUUGGGACUUGCUAGUCCCGAGAAUGGCAUCCAUGCCACUUAACCCUUGCACUUGGUCCAAGUGCUCCAUGUGACCAAUCCCAAGACCGACACCCAAAGGUACCACUGACAUAUCAGCCUGUUACGCUAAGGCCAUGCUCAUUCACCUUUGCCGCACUGGUGGUCCAAUACCACUUGCAUCACAAUCCCGUCUCUCCAAGACUGGACCGUCCGUCCACGAGUGGUCAUCCCAGAUCCACUCCUUAGCAUCCUUAGGAUGCCCACAGACAUGGGGAAUAGCCUUCCCCAACAUCCCUUUGUCAGUUCCUGCUAAGUCCCUUUUUCGUCCAUGGCCAUGUUCAUCAACACUGCCACUAGAUCAAGGCCCGCAGGCCCGGCCACUAAAUCCCAUUGUCCUUUGGGACUUCCUCACCAUGUGACCGUAUCCGUAGUCACUACUCUAGAGGAUUGCUCCUCCUCCUUUCCCCCAUUUGGGACUUCGGGACAACAUUUCGGAACACCGUGGCCCUAAGUGAGCCUCGUGGGUACUCUCCCCACCUUCUGCCUUUAGGUGCUCUAGCCAUGGGCUUAGAGCAAGGUUCCGUUGAGCCACACCAGGUAUCCAAGUAGGUAGUGCCACCCACACUUGGACUGGGAGCAUCGGCCAGUCGAUCUCCCAGGGGAACUAGAGCCGGCUCUUGAACAUUUCAUCAAGCUAGCCCGCUUGUCGGUUUGUAUUCACUCUAGUCUUGGACUUCCUAGUGGUCAGUUCAUCACCCAACACUGGGUCUGGCCUUCCUGGGCCAAACUGGCCUUUUUUGGCCAAACUGGCUCCACUGCAGUCCUCCCCCUUACUAUACUUUUGGAGCUCACCAAACCCCCCAGGGUUUGGGAGACGAACGCUUUGGGCUUUCACCCUCUUAGACUCGAACUCGGACUCGGACUUGGACUCGGACUCAGGCUCGGACUUGGACUCGGUCUCGGGCCUGGUCUCGGCCUCGGCCUCGGUCUCGGUCUCGGUCCCGGUCUCGGUCCCAGUCUCGGUCUCGGUCUUGGUCUCGGUCUCGACCUCAGACUCCAUCUCGGACUCCAUCUCGGGUCUAUCUCAGACUCCAUCUCAGACUCCAUCUCGGGUCUAUCUCGGACUCCAUCUCGGGUCCAUCUUAGACUCCAUCUCGGGUCCUUCUCGGACUCCAUCUCGGACUCCACCUCGGACUCUAACUCGGGUCCACCUCGGGUCCACCUUGGACUCCAUCUCGGACUCCACCUCGGAUUCCAACUUGGGUCCAUCUCGGACUCCAUCUCGGAUCCACCUCAGACUCCAUCUCGGACUCUGUCUUGGUCCAUCUCGGACUCCAUCUUGGACUCCAGCUCGGACUCCAACUCGGGUCCAUCUCGGACUCUGUCUCGGUCCAUCUCGGACUUCGUCUCGGACCGCAUCUCGAGUCCAUCUCAGACUCCAUCUCGGGUUCAUCUUAGACACUUCUACAUGUCAUGUGUUAGUCCUUUUUGGGUCCCUUUUUUAGAGCCUCGCUUAUUGCUCGCUUCGUGCUCAUUCCUCGAGCACUUUGUUGGGAGUUCCACUCCCGCUCUCGACCUUUCAAGUCGGAGCUUUUAGUUCACACGUGUUACACUCAUUUGGCUUUCGCUUCGGCCACUACCACGUGGCACCCUUCCGACUCCACUUUGGGGCCUAAGGAUUUUGUGUCUCACAACUCCACCACCCAUAGACGAAGUUCGAUGUCUUCAUCGAACGGUAAACCCUUUUAUAAAAUAACACCCACAGGUAUUACCAUUUCCAUCCUUGGCACCCAGCCAAUAUUUGUCUAUGGUUUGACCCCAAAGGCUCACCAUACCUUGUCCAUCCUCUAAGGAGCAUAGUCUCUCUAACAUAGAGACUCACUCGACCACCUAGGGUGGUUUGCUCCCUUUUAUCGGUUCAAUUCUCAUUAAACCCAUUAGAGACACCUUCUCUAACUCAAUUCCACUACUCAUUCUUGAGUAGUCUCAGAUUCCAUUGACAUAACCUCUGCACUUUGGAACUUUUAAUUUUGACUUCUCCGAGUUAAUUUCCUAGGUGUCUCCGACACCUUAUGUUGCAUAUAGUGCAACUCCACUUCCCUAUCCUAAGAAGUUCUUUACUUGAGGGUACCAUCAUCCUCACUUUGAUAUUGUGCCACCUUUGGGCACUAAAUUUUAGUUAUUAUAAUUGGUGCUAGGGCUGCCCAUGGCCCUAUUAUUUGGCUACUUUACCGCUCCUCUCUUUGGAGCAUCCACUUUCGCCAAAUUGGAGUAGUUGGGAAUCCAUCCUUGGGGAAACAUUGCCUUUCCCACAAUUCAUUAGUGCCCAACACAUUAGUGUUCUCGGCCUAACUUUGCCAUUUGGAUUCUUUCUCAUGAUUCCCAUGGCUCUUUUUUUAGCCAUUAGUCUUUUGCUCCUAUCCUUGAUUGUUGCACCUAGCAACAUAGGAUCGCUACCUCCAUUUUUGAGGUUUCCUUUUAGUUCUAUAGCAAGCACUUUGCUUUGCCAAGUCCAGAGGGUGUUCACCCCUAAUAUGUUUCUUUAACAUUUUCUGCCAUGGGCUCUAUCCACAACCUAACUUUUGAAACCCUCCUUUGGAUCUCUUAUAAAGACUACUUUCCUUGGACUUACUAUGCCAUAGCAUUGACAUAGCUCAUUUCCCUUAGGUGUUCUUCCCACUUGGUCACCUUGACCAAGCCACACCAUUAUCAAUCGUUCAAAUCAACACUUUGAACUAGGAAUCGUAUUCCUUAACCCAAACAAAGACCUUAUCCUUGUUUAACCACAAGAUCACUUAGUGAUCUCAUCUUAACCCCUUAAUAGGUCUACCAAUAGGAACUAGGUCUUCCAGACCCUUCUAAGUUGUUGAUUAUGACCCCGGGGGCAUCCCCCACACUUGGCAGUGCACCCUUCCGGCCAAGGAUCCAUACAACUAAGACUUGGGUGUCCCCAUCUCAUUCACCACGUCCUUGGUGCCCUUUGCACCAAAGUGUUCAAGUUAGAUAUGCCAAGCUUUCACUCUAAGCCAUCUAACCGUGCAUCACGACUCUGGGGCAUCCCCCGCUUGGCAGUGUGCCCAAGCCAAUCUCCUCAUUGAGAGUCUAUGACCACCGAAAUAUGAGUGUCCUCAUAUUCCAAACCAUCACCACGCCCUAGUGAUUUGGGACUCGAACCCAAGCACUAGAGGGUCAAGACUCGAACCCAACCUCCGUAUAUGCAUCUACGGAUGGCAUCACACUGGAUGUCUGGCGUGACUCCCCACGCUAGUGCACCAACAUGCGCUAUAGAUCACACAUUAGGAACCUAGUUCCUUUGCACUGCCAAGUCCUCUCACUUGACAAGUCUGUGAUCAUGCAUGAACUCUUCUAUGCUCGGCCCCAUGGGCCACCCCAUUGAAGUUAGCACCUUCAACUAGGGGAUUUGUUCCCCUAACUUGCCAAUCUCACUUAACAAGUUAUCCGGCCAUUGUAAUAUAGUUCAUGCAUAAGCAUGAAAGUCCUUAAUCAUCGACUUUCAUUCAAAGCCCUCUCUUUGAACACUUGGGAACUACUUCCCCAACCUUGAUAGCCUCGCCUCAUAGCCAGCUUCAAGACCACGCUUCUGCUAUGCCACUCUGAUUUCAUGCGCUCUAGGAACCAUUUACACUUGGCUUUCUAGGUACUUAUCUACCCAGAAUUGUCUUUGGGAACCUUCAAGGAACUUUGUUCCUUAGUUUGUUAAGGCUUCUCCUUUGCAAGCUCCCUACUCACCACAUGGUCUAACAUGGAUAAUUCCACAUUUUAGACUCUUCAUGGUACUGCGGUUGCUAGUAGUAACAUCUUUGAGCACUCUCUUGAUUUUCCACUCCCAACUUGCAUAACCACCAUUGAUUAUGCCCUUUGAUUUCUAUGGUUCUAUUCCAUCCCAAUACUACUUGCCCUUUGGCCUUAUAUGUUUCCCUUAGUUAUUCUCCUCCAGACUAGGAAGAUAGCUUUGCACCUUUUACCAUGCCCUAGCAAGUAUUCAUAGGGAUGAACUUAUCUAAUAGUUUAGGGAGUGGUUCCUCAAUUUGAGCACGCUCACCUUAUAAUCCCACACACUAUGAUUAACAUUGCUACUUAUGGGCUUCUAUAUGCCCAUCACUAGCCUUGCCAAAAUCCCAUUUUUGGCUAUGUCCAAAUCGGGUAGACGGAUUUCUCCCAUCUCCAGAACCAUGGACAUUUAGAUAGCACCUCUUAUCCAUCAUUCGCUAGGGACUUAUCUAAUGCCCUUGCGAUACCAAACACCACUUCCUGGUGUUUUAGAGUGUUUGGGUGUCCCAAUGAUGGCCUUCUUUAGCAAUGAGCAUUCCCUUUACGACAUUGACUUAUUAUUUCACAACAUAAGCAAUUUCUCCCCCAUAAGGGUAUAUUUAACUUCCUUAUCCCCAUAAAAAGUCUUAGGUAGUUACCUUCUACCAAUUUAACCAAUUAUUUCGCACCUUUUGCUUAGUUGCCUCAUAGUUAUCAAGUCCUACAACUCAUUGCUGGUGCUUCCACACCUCCAUCAUUAUUUGGGUCACCACACUCUAACCACAUGCCUUCCAGCUUAGGCUAUGCCAUUCCCAUUUUCGUUGGGAUUCCCUUGGCAAGGGGUUCUUAUGAACCCACCAACAUAACCUCAAGGUAUCACACCUUGGCAUAUUUGGUGUCUCCACACCAUUGGCCCCACGAGCCUAUCCUUAUGACACUACUUAUUAGUGUCUAGGUUUUUGCUAAGACCAAUAUAGUUGUUCCUCAUGUUAACUAUCCGUUAGCACCGCACUAUAGUGUUUGCACCCAACUCUGGGCCAAAGUUGCUUUCUUCUGGGAACAUCUUUCCCACACAACUUUAGUAUGGCACAUUUUGCCAUCAAUGAGAUACUUACUGUUCUCAUAUUUGGAUCUUAUGAUCCUCCCCAUACCUCAUGGGGCACCAUACACCUCAAUCCAAAUGCUUCAACCAAUCCCUUAGGACCAUUUCAUGACUCCACUUGAGUUAUCUAGCAUUUUGGACUUUGCAAAUCCAACAACCUACAAGGUCUUAAUCUUCGAGGUGCCAACUUGCUAGAAUACAACUUCUUGUAUUCAUGUCCUACUCAUAAGGACCAUCUUUGCAAGUGUUACUCCGACACUUGAUAAUUUUCUUGGGGCUAACCUUUGCCCCUUAUGACUACUUGUCCAUGUGAUGAGAAUAGCAACUCAUCUUUAAGUACACCCCCAACUCCUUGGGUUGUUCCAGCAUUUAUUAGAGGUAACCCUGGCUACUAUUUCAAAGACUGGUGUCCUCUUCUGUAUUUGACCUCCCAUAGUCACCAAUUCCAGUCUCAAAUUUAUGAGUACCAGCCUCAACUAUAUAAAGGUAAUCUUGUGACUCCUUUAUUGUUUUGGAGUCUGCAUCUUUCUUGUGAUCCCAACUGUAGUUGUUUACCACAACUACAUCAGCCAGUUUGCUAAGUCAAGUGCUCAUCUAGAUCACAUCCUCAACUCUCUGAGGAAACCCUUAUACUGUUCCCAAGAUCCCAAAGUCAUUCCCUUACUGGCCCUUUUCUAUCCACCACAUCGUGCCCAAGUUCACGCAUGAACUUGAGUGGAGAGCCAUGUCCUCUUGACAUGCUACUCCUCAAGGAUAGGCCCACUCCUAGGACCUUCCGAUGCCAACGUCAAUGGUGAUAUACUUGAGCACCAAUAAAAGUCGGACUAAGGAACGGCUCCGAUACUAAAUUGUAAGCGACUAAAUUUUCCAUUCUACUUUAGUCACUUAACCACACCUCUGACCACUUGGAAGAGUCUCAUUCACAACCUCCUUAAGUCCAAUUCAGGACUUAGGACUUGCUAGUCCUGAGAAUGGCAUCCAUGCCACUUAACCCUUGCACUUGGUCCAAAUGCUCCAUGUGACCAGUCCUAAGACUGACACCAAAGGUACCACCAACANNNNNNNNNNNNNNNNNNNNNNNNNNNNNNNNNNNNNNNNNNNNNNNNNNNNNNNNNNNNNNNNNNNNNNNNNNNNNNNNNNNNNNNNNNNNNNNNNNNNACACCACAUCAACCUGAAAGUUGGUAUAGCACCUAUUGCUAAAGCAUUUGUCAAACUCAAUCAGGAGGAGAGGGUAGUGGUGGACAAAAUGGUGAAUUGUGUGUUGACUAUCGCCUCCUCAACAAGUCCACAAUCAAGAACUUCUUUCCAAUUCUGAACAUGGAAGAGCUCUUCAAGGAGCUGGGCUAGCUGUAUUUCUUCACCAAACUAGAUUUGAGAUUUGACUAUUACCAAAUAUUUGUCGCUGACAAGGACUGCUUCAAGACAGCUUUCGGGAUAGUGUAAGCAACUAAAUUUUCCAUUCUACUUUAGUCACUUAACCACACCUCUAACCACUUGGAAGAGUCUCAUUCACAACCUCCUUAAGUCCAAUUCAGGACUUAGGACUUGCUAGUCCUGAGAAUGGCAUCCAUGCCACUUAACCCUUGCACUUGGUCCAAAUGCUCCAUGUGACCAGUCCUAAGACUGACACCCAAAGGUACCACUGACAUAUCGGCCUGUUACGCUAAGGCCAUGCUCAUUCACCUUUGCCGCAUUGGUGGUCCAAUACCACUUGCAUCACAAUCCCAUCUCUCCAAGACUGGACCGUCCGUCCACGAGUGGUCAUCCCAGAUCCACUCCUUAGCAUCCUUAGGAUGUCCACAGACAUGGGGAAUAGCCUUCCCCAACAUCCCUUUGUCAGUUCCUGCUAAAUCCCUUUUUCGUCCAUGGCUAUGUUCAUCAACACUGCCACUAGAUCAAGGCCCGCAGGCCCGGCCACUAAAUCCCAUUGUCCUUUGGGACUUCCUCACCAUGUGACCGUAUCCGUAGUCACUACUCUAGAGGAUUGCUCCUCCUCCUUUCCCCCAUUUGGGACUUCGGGACAACAUUUCGGAACACCGUGGCCCUAUGUGAGCCUCGUGGGUACUCUCCCCUUAGGUGCUCUAGCCAUGGGCUUAGAGCGAGGUUCCGUUGAGCCACACCAGGUAUCCAAGUAGGUAGUGCCACCCACACUUGGAUUGGGAGCAUCGGCCAAUCGAUCUCCCGGGGGAACUAGAGCCAGCUCUUGAACACUUCACCAAGCUACCCUGCUUGUUGGUCCGUAUUCACUAUAGUCUUGGACUUCCCAGUGGUCAGUUCAUCAUCCAACACUGGGUCUGGCCUUCCUAGGCCAAACUGGCUCCAUUGCAGUCCUCCCCCUUACUAUACUUUUGGAGUUCACCAAACCCCCCAGGGUUUGGGAGAUGAACGCUUUGGGCUUUCACCCUCUCAGACUCGAACUCGGACUCGGACUCAAACUCGGACUCGGACUCGGACUCGGACUCGGACUCAAACUCGCACUCGAGCUCGGGCCCGGUCUCAGUCUCGGUCCCGGUCCCGGUCUCGGUCUCGGUCCCGGUCUCAGUCCCGGUCCCGGUCUCGGUCUCGGUCCCGGUCUCAGUCCCGGUCUCGAUCUCGGUCUCGGUCUUGACCUCGGACUCCAUCUCGGACUCCAUCUCGGGUCUAUCUCAGACUCCAUCUCAGACUCCAUCUCGGGUCUAUCUCGGACUCCAUCUCGGGUCCAUCUUGGACUUCAUCUCGGGUCCUUCUCGGACUCCACCUCGGAGUCCAACUCGGGUCCACCUCGGGUCCAUCUCGGACUCCAUCUUGGACUCCACCUCGGAUUCUAACUUGGGUCCAUCUCGGACUCCAUCUCGGAUCCACCUCAGACUCCAUCUCGGACUCCGUCUCGGUCCAUCUCGGACUCCAACUCGGGUCCAUCUCGGACUCCGUCUCAGACUCCAUCUCGGACUCCGUCUCGGACCCCAUCUUGGGUCCAUCUCGGACUCCAUCUCGAGUUCAUCUCGGACACUUCUACAUGUCAUGUGUUAGUCUUUUUGGGUCCCUUUUUUAGAGCCUCGCUUAUUGCUCGCUUCGUGCUCAUUCCUCGAGCACUUUGUUGGGAGUUCCACUCCCGCUCUCGACCUUUCAAGUCGGAGCUUUUAGUCCAAACAUGUUACGCUCGUUUGGCUUUCACUUCGGCCACUACCACGUGGCGCCCUUUCGGCUCCACUUUGGGGCCUAGGGAUUUUGUGUCUCACAGAUAGAUGUUAUAGAUGCCUUGGAUGCAAGGGUAGGAGCUAUCUUGAAACAAGGGGAGAACCUCAUAGCCUUCAAGAGUAGCAAACUUAGUGACAUGAAGACUUGCCAGCUGGUUUAUGAGCAAGAGAUAGAUCACAGAGGGGCAUAAUCAGGACCCAGUACUAUCACCAAUACUAGAUCACUUCCAGCCCUCAUAUUCUGAUUUCAGCUUCAAAGAUGGGCAAAGGAUACCCUUUGUCACUUGCUGGGAAGCCAAGAAGAUAUACUACCUCAUGAGGACUUUACGGAUCCGAGAUGUAGGGGCCAGGCUUAUCCAAUGUGCAGUGGAUGUUGACAGAAACUGGAGACCUAGGAAUCUCCCACAAGAUAUGAUACCCAACUGGAAGUCAUGGCAUGCACUAUCCUCUAUCUUCGGUUCCUAUGAUGAGGAAAGGUUGUAGAUAGUGUCAUUGAGGACUCCAAACAACUAGAUUGACAAUACGGGAUGGGAUGGUGGCACAGCAUCAUCAAAUGGACAACCAGCUUUGGACACGAGAUCAACCACUUGCUUGACGAGGAAAACAGGUUGUGUGGAUAAGAACCAAGUAGCCAUGACUAGGUACCAUUUGUACACAGAGGAGAUCAACCUAAACAAGAUACAUAGUGACAAUUUAUAAUAAGCUCUCAAAUUGGAAUAGACAAACAUUUUAUGAAUAGGACAUGAAUAUAAGAAAUUGUAUUCAAGUGUGGUGGCAUUUCAAAAAUAGUCAUCAGGCUAAAACCUUAUAAGUCAUCAGCUUAACAAAAUUCAAAAGCUAGAUCACUUAAUAGAGUCAAGGGAUGGUCCAAAAAGUUUGGAGGAAGCACAUUUGAACAAAUAUAUAUUGUACCUAAUGAAAGAUUAGAAAGAUUAUAAUAUCUAAGUAUGAGAAUAAUGAAUAUUUUAUUGAUGGUGGAAAGUGCUAUACUAAACUUCUGAAAAUGUGUUCAUAGAAUAAAACAAUUUUUGCAAAGAGUUGUAUAUAAACACUACGGUGCAAUGCUAACUAAUAAUUGACAUAAGAAACAACUACUAUAUCUUAGAAAAUACCUAGACACAAGUGGGAUGAUGCUACCGCACAAGGAGCCACCAACUUUACAUCCAACCAAAGUCCAAUGCACCAAAGGGACAGAAAUAGUGACACCAACACUGCCUGAUAUACCAAGAUCUGCUCUCCCCCCACAUCAACUGGAACACCCACUGCUAGCCACCCCUGAAUAUGCAGUGCUGUUACCUGAGACCCUCCAGGAAACAACACCCAGACAAUGAAGCAGGGACAGCUAGCAGUGACACCAAUGGAGGAGCUGUGGAGCCAUGGGAGAAAAUCAACACGUGAACACUAAUCCACCUUGCAUUUUUGCUCCCGAGGAAUUAAAAUCAUGAUCACUCGAUGCUACUGCCUUUCCUUUAAGCGAAGAACACAACUUUAAACAACAUAUAAAUAGAUACAGUUUAAAGCUGUGGUUAGAGUUUCCUGAAUCCAUCAGUUGGAUGUAACCAGUAUAUGAAUGAAUGAAUGAAUUUUGUCUUGUGCUCCAAUGGUACCAAUUGAAGAACGGCAUGGGUGUUCAGUCAUACCUUUAAGGCAGAUGUGACAAACUCAACAAGAUUGCCUAAGAUUGUGGACGUCUUUUUUCAGAUUCAGCAUCCCUGGACAGAUCUAAUAUGUGUGUGGAGGACAGUCUAACAAACAGACUUGUUUCAGGUCAAGGGCCUGUUUUUCUUGCUACUUCGUUAAAACAUUUAGAAACUUGUUCUAGAGCCGAUCCCGGGUUCGAACCCAAGAGGGACUCCUUUUAAUUUCCUGGGGCACGGCGAACACGUGACUCCUGUCUAAUUUUUGCGUGCUCAACGUGGAUUUUGCGUCAAGCUGAUCUUCACGCGUUAUAUGGUUUAGAUUUAUUUUUGGCUAGCGAUUUUGACUAAAAGAGCUUCUGGAUUGGCUAUCUACAAGCAAAGUGGUAGACGAUACACGUACUCUACUUUACCAUGAAGUAUAUGAGGAGGAACACGAGAAGAAACGAGGCAACGAUCGUGAACAUGUUGCGGCCAGAUUUUGUUUCGAAGACCUGGGGGGAUCGCAAAGUCAGUAGCAGUCGAUCGAGCCAAAGAGAAGAACAAAAAUCGAGUUCGCUUAGCUUACUCUUUUGAAUCGAUCGACUGUCCCGGAAAGCAUGCCUCGCGCAGUAUCCAUUCCACUCCCCUGUGCAAUUCUAGAGAUUAGCAAAGAUCUCUUUCGAGAAAGCUUACGUGCGUACCAUUUGAUCCAGGAGUCGAGAAUGCGAUUGCGCUUCUUCAUGGAUAUCUGUUGUCAGCUGCGAGAAAGAAAUCCACAAAACGGUGAUGAAAGAUCGAAAAGAAAGACGCAGCUACGAGAGAAGCAAAUUUGGUUCUCUAGGACCAAAUUACCAAAGGGAAAAGAAAAAUGGAAGAAAGAGCUCUCGAUCUUACCGUCUUGAGCAUCCGGACUCGAUCGUGGAGGCCGUCCAGAUCUCUCUCAUUCUCUUGCUCAUCGAUCUCGCCGCUGGCAUACGAGGACGAAACAUUCCUCCCGGCUUCCAGAUUAUCAAACAGGGAGCUCCUGUUGCCGCGAUAAUCCCUGCGUCACAAACACCACAAAACCCUAGCGCCCAGAGUCGAUUGGAAAGCGUCGAAUUCUCACCGCCAUUGGCUCAUCGCUCUAAGCGCGAUCGCUCGCUCGCUCGCUCGCUAGAUCCCAAUUGCCUUCCCUAGGGCCACAGUAAAAUUUCUCUCUAGGUUUCCAUCCAGCUAGGGCUUGUGGGGGAGCGCCUUGGAUUUGCGCUUAGAUCUGGAAGCUCGUUCCAUCGGCCAGGUCUGGAUCGUGCAUUGGAUCCCGAAUGCCGGAUUCCAGGCGCUGAAAUCUUCGUUGAUCCACAUCGCGUCGGUCGGCACAGGGAUUUCGGAUGAGCUUCACGACUAUGGAGCAGCUCAAGACGAUUGGGCGGGAGCUGGCAAUGGGCUCCCAGGGGGUGUGGGGAUCGUCCAAGGAAUUCCUGGAGCUCGUCAAGACGAUUGGCGAGGCGAAAUCCAAGGCCGAGGAGGAGAGGAUCGUGCUGGCGGAGAUUGAGAGCCUCAAGCGCCGGAUCCAGGAGCCGGAUGUGCCCCGGAAGAAGAUGAAAGAGUAUAUCAUGCGCCUCGUCUAUGUGGAGAUGCUCGGCCACGACGCUUCCUUUGGCUACAUCCAUGCCGUGAAGAUGACCCACGAUGACAAUCUCUUGCUCAAGAGAUCCGGCUACUUGGCGGUCACGCUCUUUCUCAACGAGGACCACGAUCUUAUCAUCCUCAUCAUCAAUACCAUCCAGAAGGAUCUCAAGUCGGACAACUAUCUCGUGUGCUGUGCCGCGCUCACUGCCGUGUGUCGGUUGAUCAACGAGGAGACAAUCCCCGCGGUUCUUCCCCAGAUCGUCGAGCUUCUCAACCAUCAAAAGGAGCUCGUGAGGAAGAAGGCUGUCAUGGCUUUGCACAGAUUUUUCCAGAGGUCUCCUUCGACUGUGUCGCACCUCUUUCCAGCUUUCCAAGAGGUAAGUUGCUGGUUUUCUAGUUCCGAAGCUUCCUACUAAGUCUAUUGUUUUUCCAGAGACUUUGUGAUAGAGAUCCCAGCGUGAUGAGUGCUGUUUUGUGCGCGCUCUAUGACAUGAUCCUCGUAAACGUGAAGCCUUUCAAGCAUUUAGUAGCGAGUCUGGUCAGCAUUUUGAAGCAAGCCGUGGAACACAGGCUGCCAAAGUCGUAUGACUAUCACCGGACUCCAGCACCUUUCGUGCAGGUAAACUGCCGCGCUCGUUUGAUAUCAGAGUAUGCUAAGUGGGAAAUCUUGCUUCACAGAUUAAGUUGCUGAAAAUUCUCGCUUUGCUCGGGACAGGUGACAAGGCUGCCAGCGAAAACAUGUUUAAUGUGCUGGGAGAUAUUCUCAAGCGCUCGGAUUCGACCAGCAACAUUGGCAACGCGAUCUUGUACGAGUGCGUCAGGACUCUGACAUCAAUCUACACCAAUCCUCGGCUACUGCAAAAUGCAGCGGAGAUAACCGCAAAGUUCUUGAAGGUUUGUUGUGUCAUUUCAUUGCGGAGUAUAUACUGACAUAGUUUGGUGCAGAGUGAUAACCAUAACUUGAAGUACAUGGGAAUUGAUGCCCUGGGUCGGCUUAUCAAAAUUACGCCAGAGUGUGCCGAAAAUCAUCAACUGGCUGUCAUUGACUGCUUAGAGGUAGCGUCUCUAUUCCUAUUUAUUGAAGGAUCGCCUUUCAGUGCGAACUCUUGUAGGAUCCAGACGAUACGUUAAAACGGAAAACGCUGGAUCUAUUAUACAAGAUGACAAAAGCCAACAAUGUCGAAGUUAUUGUGGAACGCAUGGUGGAGUACAUCAGAAACAUCAGCGAUAACCACUACAAAACGGAGAUUUCUUCACGAGUUAUAGAGCUGGCUGAGCGAUAUGCACCAAGUAACCAAUGGUUUAUACAGGUAAUACUAUAUGGUUUAUACUUGCACUCGUCUCUUACGGACUAAAUUCGUGUGAUCGGGUGCCAGACGAUGAACCAGGUAUUCGAAAUUGCGGGAGACCUCGUGCCUCAGAAGGUUGCGCAUGACUUAAUGCGUCUCAUAGCCGAAGGAGCUGGGGAGGAGGAUGAAGAUGCUGACAGUCACCUUAGAUCGUCUGCAGUAUAUUCAUUUCAUUAUUUUCGAGUGUCUCGAGUUCUUAAUUUACUGUGUUACAGGUUCAAGCUUAUCUACAAAUACUGAAGGAACCAAAGCUUCCCUCGAUACUUCUUCAGGUACGUAGAGUUUUCUUUGUGUGCUGAUAAAUUUUCUGAAAACGUUUAAUGGGCGUCCAGGUUAUCAGCUGGGUGCUAGGUGAAUAUGGCAUUGCGGACGGCAGCCACUCAGCUGAAUUCAUUAUAGGAAAACUAUGUGAUAUUGUCGCUACACGCCCUGGUGAUGACAAGUUAAAGGUAUACAUUCUGAUUGUUUACUGCGAACGUUGACGCCGUUCACUGCUUGCAGGGUUACGUUGUUUCGGCAAUUACAAAAAUCUGUGCAUUCGAGAAAGCAGCUGGGCAGACAGUAGAUCUCAUUCCAGAGGUAGUGCCAUUCAACGUGUACUCUUAAGAUUUGACGUCUGAAAAUGUGUUGCAGUGCGUCUCGUUCAUCGAGGAACUGUACGCUUCUCAUUCUACCGAUCUACAGCAACGCAUCUAUGAAUUCCACGCCGUGCUAAAGCUAGACAGAGAUACCAUUGCAAGUAUCUUGCCUAUGGAUGCCAGCUGCGAAGACAUUGAGGUCAUCUAUGCUUUUGAUGCUCGUAACUCAAAACUGAUACUCUUCCUUCUGAUAGGUGGACAAGGAUCUCUCCUUCCUCAACUCUUUCGUCGAAUCCGCCUUAGCAAAUGGCUCUAGACCAUAUCUAUCCGACAAUGAGCGCCGUGGAAUGGGUGCAAUGACAACCUUGGCAUCCAACAAUGACGCUGGUACGUCGUCUUUACUUCGUUUCCAGCCUUACGAGAAGCCAAGCAUCCCGGAGCCUGCCGCAGCUCUCGUCACUGCGUCUCAUUAUAGCCAAGACGCGAUCGACCAGCACGACAUCUAUUCUAGUACAAUCACGGUUUCCACGAGCUCUAGAGCUCCAGAAUCUAGCAGCAACGACGGCACGAGACUCAAACUCGAGGGAGUCCAGAAAAAAUGGGGUCGUCCAACGUACACUCCUGAGGCGCAGGUGCCAAAGAAUCCCAUCAACAUAUCCGACAGUGUCAAGGUAAGCAGCAGCGCAGCAGGGAAAGAAGCAUCGAGUAGAAACAGCAGCGCUCCUCCCUACACGGAAAGAAAGCAGCCUUCGCAGGAGAUCUCUGCCGAGAAGAAGAAGCUCGCAGCAUCACUCUUUGGAAGCAAAGCAGGAGAGACUAAAGCCAAGCCGGCAGCAAAGCUACAACAAAAUGGAACGUCGAAAAAAGCUCCAGCAAAGCCAACUUCGCCGCCAGCUCCAGCUCCAGCUCCACCGCCUGCUGAUCUACUCGACUUAAGUGACAGUCUACCUCAGAUUCCCUCGGUGGAUCCGGUUGAUCAGCUGGCGGAUCUAAUCUCGGUUGAUAGCUCGGCUGCUACGUCGACCACUUCGCUCGUCGAGCAAGUUUUGGACGCUGGAAAAGUUGCGACGAAGGGGCCAUCGCCGCAAGCAUCGUUGCAAAAGGACAGUGUUUCACGCCAAGUGGGGGUGACGCCGAGCGGAGGAACAAACCCGGACCUUUUCAAGGAUUUGUUUGGAUGAGGAAAGCUCGCUCGCGUUCUCGCGUUUGGCGCGGUGGUGUGAGAUUUUCUCACAUCCUUCUGGAUCUGUAUGGUCAGUAAGAUUCUAAUGGAACACGAGAAGAGCAACAGCGGAAAUGCGUUUAUACUUCUCUAGAGAAAAGAAUUUCCAUUCCCUGCGAGUCGGGCAGUGUACAAAACUUUUUCUGUGCUGAUUCUUCUAAAAGUUGAAAGCGUUUUGUAGCCUGGAUGCCAUAUGACCCGUCACGACUUGAGAAGCAAGCGACUGGAUUUGCUUCUUGGCAUCUGAGUUACAUCGAAAGAAAAAAAUGGAGUGAGUGGAUGAUUCGAUCAAACUUUCACGUCGAACCUCUCCGGCAUUUGGUGAAUCCGAUGAUGUUGGCAACUCCGAGCGUGAGACAAAUCCCCACGAUCAGUAGAUAGUCGAAGUUGAACUUAAUGAGCGCGACAAGGCCCAGAGCUAGCCAUAUCCCAGGCUGUGAAACAAAACUAAGAUCUCUCCUAAAAAAAUAAAGUGGAGAGAGAGAUAGAAACUUACAGCAAUGUAGAGCGUCCACCAAAAGAGCCAUGUAUCCUUCUUGUUGAGCCUCUCCAGAGACUGAAAGGGGAAGAACCAUUCAAAGCUUGUAGCGGUGAAAGAGAGAAGAAAGAAAAAUUUCUUUGUGCGUACCUGUUGAUCCAGCGACUCAAAUCGCCACACACUCUCGCCUUGGUCAUCGAUCUCAUUCCACCAGCGCAGCCCCACCAGGAUUCUACCGCUCACGUUCUUCACCACCCAGAAAUCCAGCGCCGCCAAAAGGACGGUGACCACGAACUGGAUGAUGAAGCUGCUGACGAAGAAGGAGCAGAGGAUGUAGAAUGCGAUCGCGGAUCCCUGCCAGGCGAGCGAAUGAAGAGAGAGAGAGAGAGUGAGAAUGGCGCGAUCUAAGAUGAGAAUUUCGAGAGAGACCUUGAAGACGACGUGGAAGAACGCCGUGAGUGGAUUCGAGUAGUUUUGCUGCGGCUGGCCCUCCUCCGCCUGCGCACAAGGCAAGGAUUGAAAUUCACGACGCCGGAAGCGCGGAUCUGCAAACUCACCAUGGAUGGAAUCGCCACUCGCCGAGCUCCAGAUCGUAAAACCCUAGAAGAAGGCCGGGUGACGUGGCAAAGUGCCGCGUCAGCGUCCCAGCCACGUCCGUAACGUUCCGUCCGUACAUAAAAGCCGUGCAAACGUACAAAACUUUUAUUUUACAAAACUGGAAUUUUUCCUUGCCCCGUUCGAGAGCUUGUUGGACAGCGCCGGCUUGUCUUUGGCGACGUAUUCGUUCGUAACGUGGAACUCUCCGCGAGAAAGCUCCGUGGAAAUCUGGGAAGAACGAUGAGAAAGAGAAAAGGAGAGCGAGUUCUUCGAUUCAUACCUUGAGUGUUAGUAGAACAUUUAGCGCGGAGCACAGCUGAUUCAUUCGCCUCCUCCCGCGGGUCUUGAGGUAAUCGUGCAUGACGGGAUCCACUCGAAGCGUCAUCGACGGCCACCUCGUGCUCUUGCUAAAGCUGUUCUUCCGGUUGGCCUGGCAAGGACGAAACGAGCGUUUGAUCAGUUUUAAAGUUCUCUAGAGAUGUUACCAGGAUCUUUUUGACUGCUCUCUCAAUCUUCGAGAGCGUCAUUUCUACCGACUCGAUGCGUCCAGUACCGCCGCAGCAGCUGCAUGAAUCAGUGACCCUCGAGGUGACGCUCGGCCGGUCCUGAAAGUUCCAUAGCAAGUCAAGCACCACGAAGAGAACUGAUACACAACAAGAUUAAGUACCCGUGCUCUUGUCAUUUCCAUGAGUCCGAACUCUGAAAUUUCCGAGAUGACAACUUUAGACCGGUCCCGCUCAAUGGCCUUGCGCAUUUCUUCGAAAACAAGCCUUUCGUGACCUGCAGAUAUACCACAAUACCUCAGCUCGCUGCCAAACUAUCGAGUCCAGAGGCUUACUUGGAUCCUCCAUGUCUAUGAAGUCAACAACUAUAAUCCCACCAAUAUCUCGUAGCCUCAGCUCUGUCGCAAUCUGCGGCUCAUUCCGUAUGAUCAGAAAAUCACAGAGAUUAUGAUGGUUUUUACCUUUCGAGCAGCAGCGAGAUUUACUUCUAAAACUGCUUCUCGUUGAGAUGUCGCAUCACCGAGCAUUCCCACGCCACCAUUUACAUCAAUAGAUACGAGAGCUUCGGUUUCCUCCAACACCAAAUAUGCACCGUUUGGUAGUUCUACCCUGCAGGGAGAACGAAAGCGAAAGAUGACCACUUUUGCAAGAAACACCAAGCACCUACCGCUUGCUAGAUGAUUUCUCAAUUUCUGCUUCAAGGUUGAAAGCCUCGAAGAUAGGCUCUUUGCCAGAGUAAAGUUCCACACGAUCACAUAAGUGAGGUGCUAUUUCUUGGAGGUAAGCUGUAACCUGAAAAGAAGAAAACACAAAGAAAUAUAAGUUUCUUAUCUACGUCCAAAAGUCGUCACCUCUUGGUAUGUUUGAGACGAAUCCACGACAAACCUUUCAACCUGUAAAUAAUCGUUCAAAGAAAGAAGAUAGUAUACUGUGACAAACCUCAUUGUUGAAGAGAUCACGAACUGUCCUGAGCGUUUGUCCCAUGGCCCUUUGUAGCAACACAGGGACCGGGUCUUUUCCACCAGCAGCAGCAGCAACCUCCGCUCUCUCCAGAAUACUUUUCCACGUCUCCAUGAGGCGUGCCAAAUCCUUCUCGAGCUCUUCACGGCUGCGGCCAACAGCCUCAGUCCUCACGGUAAGACCAAAUCCAGGAGGCUGCAGCUCUCUGGCAAGCUGCUUAAGCCGACUUCUUUCCAGCCCGUUAAUCUUGCGAGUAACUCCAAUGGUCGAAACUUGAGGCACCAGUACCUGCACUACAUCUCCAACUUCACGCAUUUAUUCUCUAAAAAAAAGAGCUGGAGGCACUUACCCAGUAUCGUCCCGCCAAAGCCACAGUUGCAGUAAGCUGUGGUCCUUUCUGCCGAAGAGCCUCUUUCUUCACUUGCACGACCAUCAAAGUUCCUCUCUUGACUUUCCUCCAUGCACCGAUCUUCCGCAGGACAGUAGCCGGCUUUACGUUUGUCUUUCCAUCGCUCUGUUCCAUCUCCUCUCCGUUUGGAUCGUCCACAGUUUCUUCAAUUUCCUCUUCAUUCACGUCGAUAACUAUCCCAUCCUUGUUUCUCAAACCGUCCUCUUCGUUCCCCUGAGCUUUGUCACCGUAGAAGACGUGAGGGUAUUGGUGCAUGUUAACUUCCAGCAAUGCCGUUCUGGAAGAUCCAAUCUCCACAAAAAUCCCGUUCAUGCCUGGGAGGAGCUGCUUCACAACGCCGAGGUAGACAUUGCCAACUUGGAAGUUCGAGUUGACAGGCUCGAGCAGUAGCUGGACGAGCUUCUUGUUCUCGACGAUCGCAAUUCGCUGCAUCGUGCACUCGGAGGAGUUGAUGAAGAUCUCCACUGCUACAUCGCGAGCUUCCGGAACUUCCUGGCUCUCGCUCAGGAAAAUGCUCUCGAGCAGCCAUGGCUCCUCCCUUGGAAACACCUUCCGCUUCGGGAAAAAUCUAAAGUCCGGCCACUUGGUCGCGGUUUCGCUCGAGACACUUGCCUGAUCAUCUUCUCCCUUGGAAGAAAAGUCUCUGAAAGCUUCGAGUUCUGCUACAGCGAUGAAAGGAUCUUCCUCUCCAAAAACCUUUUGAUCCGAGAGUUGCAACGCGGCCAGGAACGGGUCUUCUUCUCCAAAAGUUGGAACUCUCGAGACAUGGAGAGCUCUAACUUCUGAGGGCGAUGAGUCGUGUAGAGACGGGACCUGGACAACGUAAGAGUUCUCCAAAGAUCGUCCUGGUAGCACCUAGAAAUUCUAGAGGAAAUGAAUCGAGCUUGUGAAAAUCUCUACAAUCACGGACGAACCUGUGAGCCAUUCACUAGCGUUGGAGCUUCAGCUAUGCUCGCUCUGGCCGCUCCAUUCCCAUGAAACAGCCGAAGAGACGAGGAAGAAGAACUCUCGGCCCAGGGAUCUUCCUCGAAGAGAACGCGCUGGUCGCCCUCGGCUCUCCUGUGCGCCCGGGGAAUGUGAAGGAAUUCCGCGCCUGGAAUCCCGAAAUGCCGAUCCCUGAGAUGCCUGCGCUGAGAAUCCGCCACGGAAUUCUUGGAGCUCAACCUGGACGAGGAAGGAAACAGCGCUUCCGCGAGGAAUGGAGCAGCGACGUGGAUUGUAGGCGCCAUUUCUCACCAGAGCAAGCGAUUCCAUCGCUCAUUGUCAGCGAUCCGCGAGCAGCUUAUCCAUAUUUCGACACGCAUUUUUUAGGGUUUAUGCGGCUAGGUUGAAGGCAGCCACGUCAUCCAAGUAGCUGACAUGGCGGACACCACGUCUGACGUGGCGAAGGGACAACGGUCGGAUCGUUUACUUGAUAGUUCCGUUAUACAGAGGUAGAGGCGAUCGAUUGAUUCAUUCGUUCUCUCCAGCUCGAAGCUAUGGCGGAUUUUCGUGCCGCAAUCCCAGUUCCAGGAGGAAGGAUUGAGAGCUUGCAAUGGCGCCGACCAGGAAUUCCUGCUAAUCGACACCACAGGAAGAAAUGGAGAACGCUAGCAAUGGCUCGGGACGAUUCUAGCAGGAAGAAGAACGAAUUUCCUCUCAUUCUCGACGCGAAUCUCUCCUCCAGAAUGGCAGCGUUCCAAUGCGCCCUAUCGUCCACUGCCGAGAACAACGAGACGACACACUGCCGCAGGAAUUUCACCUCGAGCAUCCAAUCUCUGGUCCAACACAGCGAUAGCGCGCAGAGGCACUGCGAGGCCUUCCAGGCAUCGCUGGAUUCGAUCGAAGCUCGCCUCGCGCUGGCUCCCAGCGCCUCUGAGAUUUCCAGCCUCCAGGUAAGAAUCCAUCCCCUGCUCCACAAAAUAUUUCAUCGUCUCCCUGUUCUUGCAGACGCGCCUGGAGCGAGCAUCGUCCUCCUUGCUCCCCCAAUCCGGCAUCGAGCAGUUGAUCCGAGAGGCCGAGCUCUUGGAAUCGAGGCUCGCAGAGAUUCCAAGGGCGGAAGAAAUCGAGGCCCUAGACACUAGAAUCCCCGAAAUGCUGAUGAAGAGAUCGUGGGAAAGAGUCGGCGAUGGUGCCAGGAGGUUGCGGCGAGCGAUGGAUAGAGCUGAGAUCGCGUGGCUGCGGCAUCUAAAGGAUACCGCCUCGCAGCUCAUCGGGAAUAAAUCUUAGGGUUUAUAGCUAUUUGUCUGGAGCAUUUUUCUAGGGUUCAUGGAGACCUCUCUCAGAUUUCGAGGCGAUGAGAGGCAACUCCGGCUCCACGCGAAGGAGAAUUUCCUGCUCGACAGCUCCUUUUGCCUCCAGGCGCGCAUUUAAUCGAUCUCUAUCGCGCACUUCUUCUCAAAAUCUCUCGUUUCUUUUCUCUCGCAGGUCCACGGCUAUCUCAACACGCACAACGGCAGGGCGGGAUGCAUCGCGCAGCUCAAGAGGAAAUUCCUCCCCGAGGCAUCGUCUCUCUCCUCUGCAAUCGCUGGAUCGAUCGAAUCGACCCUCUCUCUCUCAAAAUUUGUUUUGCAGCUUCUCACGAGCUUGGAUGUGGGCGCGCGAUACGACACCGAUCACAAGGAAUUUACGUACGAUGUGCGCGGCAAGAAGACGCUGCCUCUCACGGACAAUGGAUUGCUCAGCGUGGAUCUCAAGGGAGGAUUCAACUUUAAUCCUCGAUUGAAACUGGUGAGCGCGCUGGUUCUAGAUCAUUGUCCCUUCAAUCGCCCUUCGAUCGUCCAGGGAAAAGCCAGGGGAGCGAUAGAGCUCAGCUACAAGGUCUUCAACUUCACGGAAGAUCAAGAUCUCAAGCUCAAAAUCGGCUAUGAUCCUUUCAAACAGGCAAGAACAAACUUUUUUUCGUGUGAUCGAUCGAGAUUUCUUUUGUUCUUGCGCAGAAGCCAUACUUGCAAUUGAGGGAGAACAAUUGGACAUUCAAUGCCGACAUAAACGGUGCCUGGAACAUCAUCUACGACCUGUAAUUCUCGAGAGCGAGAGGGAACGAACGAUUCUUUCAAUCAUCUCAUUCAUCUUAGCAGCGAAGAAGGGAAGGGAAAAUUUUUCAGAGGUCUUACUUGCGUUUCUUGCUGGCACUGGCUAGUUCUUCCUCCAAUUCUUCUUCUUCCUUCUGCUCUGGAUCGGCUACUUCCAGCGCGCAGUGAUGCCGGAGCAUGUAAUCGCCCAGUAGCUGCAUCGCUUUGCUCUUGAGAUCCACCAGCGCCGCCGAGAGCGAUGGAUUACUCUCGGAUUGGAUCGAUUGGGCCUCCGCCUCGAGCCGGAAGCUCGCCAUAGCCGCCGCCAUUCUAUCUGUCUUCUUAGCCC
rnacentral:lncRNA from 1 species